GAAAGGCAAUCAUUUGUGCAGUUUUCUUCGGAAGAAGACGGUUCCCGAAACAUCCAUCAAUAAAUGACGAACUCCAGCAUAGACGUGAUAGAAAAGGGCUAAGGCAGCAAUCUUGGCGGAUAUUGGGCUGAGUUUCGAUGAAUAAAAGAAGAAUUGGUAGAAACUCCCAUAGCUGAAGCAAAUCGAACCCAUCUUCAUAGAAGCAAGAUAAAAAGACAGGACUAAUGCGGAUAGAUAAACUCCGGAGAUUCUGUUUAAAAUUGACAUCGUCGAGUUCACCUGGGGCUGGUAUAUAGGAAGAUGAGGAGAUAAGGGGCGAAAGACAUUUUUUCUUGUAUCAACUUUCGGGCUGACAUCAUCAUCCUCUUUGCCCGUCACUUGCAGAUUCAAACCAUCAUCGGUCUCCUUAGCUUCAGACCCAGGACCAACUCCGGAUGCGAUCGAAGAGUACUCACUGAAUUGGCUCACGCUCCUCCUCCAAAAUGGAUCAAACACACCUGCAUUAAAGACCCAGACAAAAAAUUUUUAAAAAAAAUUAAAAGUAAAAGAUCAGUUGAAAAAUCGUCGAUUUAAAUAAAAAUAGAAAAGGGACCCAUACUUCAUUUCGCUGCGCUAUAUCAAUUGGGGAUAAGUAGGAGAAGAUGAUCAGAGGCUAGGAUGAAAAUUCCCCAAAUUAUAUACAUAGAAGAGACAGAUUAUAGAUCUGGUGGGGGCAUAUCUCAUCGUCAAUCCAAUUCCAAUACCCACAGCCACCAACUUCUUCUGAGCAAACGGCGUACCUUUUCCCUGGAUUUCUAUCAGUCCAAGAAGUAAUCAUCUUCGUGACUUUAUCGCAAUGACGAAUAGGAAGCAGAAGGCUGUGAUAUUUGCGUAUUUUUUUCUUCCCUUCACAAAGAUUUUACCUUCUUCCCUUUUUCUUGUUUCUUUGCAGACUUCUCUCUCUUCCCUCUGCAAUUCGUUUGUUGAAUAAGUUAGUGGUUGGGUUAGGUUAGAUGGAGAGAAGGAGGAGAAGUUGUUUCCUUUUUGCUUAGAAAAUGCGGACAAAAAUGCCCUUUGAAGAAACACACUGGCAUUCGUGUGAAUUAGCCUUCCGGUUGCAAAACCGGAGAAACUGGCUAAAAGGGUCACGGGUGCUCAAUUUAUCAAGUUCGAGGGUUUAAAGUCAGCGAAAAAUAGAUGAGGGGCUUAUUUUUACCUAGAUAAAGAGUUCAAGGGCCAAUUGGAUAAUUUGCCCUAAAGAAAAAGAAGCAAUCAUAAUAAAGAGAGUCAAAAUUCACUAGGGACUGAAUUGCAAAAUUUGAAAACUUUUGGGGAUAAAAUUAUAUUUUUCCAAAGUUUAGAGGUUAAAAUUAAAUGAAAGAUGAAAUACAGGGACCAAAGUGCAAUUAAUUUAAGGACCUAAGUGAAAGACAAUAAAAAUGUUCUGGGCCGUAGUAACAUUGCUCCAAGGAUCAGGGGUAAAAGUGCAAAUUUCGGUUUCUGAUUUGGGCAAGGAAAGGCAAUUUGGCCAUCAUUUUAUUUCUUUGGGCCGAACACUGCCUAACCCCAGCUGAAAGUCCAAGAGAAACGAGCAGGCCAGCCCAUCUUUUAUCACUCAAAACCCAACCAAAAAAUACAUGGGCUCUGAACUUUCUAGCCCAAACCGAAACCCCAACCAAAACUAACACUUAGCCCAACCGAAAAUAAAACAUUAGCCCAAAUCAUUUUUCUUCUUUUCUUUCCUUUCUUUUCUUUCUUCUUCCUCCACUCCCCAUCCGUUUCUUUUUCUUCUUCUUCGGCCAACUGAAGAAAGCUUCAACUGGUGGCCAUGGCAGCUGUCGGCGGCGCCGCCGCCGGCCACCGGCGACUUUUCCGGUCGCCAAAAUUUCUCAAAAUACACCUCCCUACUCCAAUUUUCACGUAGAUUCUAUUUUUGAGCUUAGUUUUAAUAAAAAAUGGUCUGAAAGUGGCCAAAAUGACAAGAAAUCAGUCCAGUUUUUAUUCUUUUAUAACCCUUAAACCUUCACCAAAAAUCAUAAAAAUUAUGCCAAAACCCUCCUUAUAACCUCUACAUUACAACUAUAAUCUUAGUUUGACAAGUAAACAACAACAAAAUGAUGCAUUAAGUCAAAACAGCCCCAAAAAUGAAGAAAAUUAUUUUAAUGCUUAUAAGGCACAAAAACUCCAAAAUUUUGGAUAACUAAGCAUUUCCAGGAUUUGUACUAGCUGAUGGUCAUCCAUUGCUAACAAAAAAUAAGCACAAAAGAUUCACCAAUUUGAUUUAUUUUUCAUUUUGGCAUUUUCAGAAACACUUGACAUGCAUUCAUAGGCUCGUUUCUUUUUUCUUAAUUUUUUUCAUAGCUUAUUCCAAAAAAAACAACAACAUCAGCAACCAAUUUAUUUCACAAAACCCAUAAGAUUAUUGAUCAUCAAAGCCAAAGAAAGAAGAAGAAAAAAAUCGAACCAGUUUGCAUUAAAAUAAGGAUCAACUAAAUCUUUGCCAAAUUUCCAGGGGCUAUCUCGUUGGACUCAAAACAAAAAUAAAAGGAGAGACUUACAAUGGUUUUACAAUGGAGAUUAUUAUGGCAGUGGUGGUGGUAAUGGCACUAGCAGCAAGCUCCCAAGCUUCCCCUUUUUCUUCUGUGGCUUUCGUCUGUCGAGGGAGAGAGCCGAGAGGAUGUGAGAGUUGGAGUGUUUCUCUACUUCUUGUUCUUCUUGUCCGUGAGAGCCGAGAGAGGAGAUUGAGGAGGUAAAGGUAGGGAGUUUGUGUGUUUGUUUCGUCAAAAAUUGAUUAUUUUUUACCCAAUGACAAGAAAGAUCAAGAAAGUUGAGUGUAGGAAUGGGUUAAGUGUUUUUUGGUAGGGAAAAUGAUGAAAAUGUGUAAGUUUUGUAAUAAUUUGAUUUUGAUUUUUUUUGUUUGUUUUUUUUUCUAAAAUAAACCUGCAAAAAAUGAGAAAAAUACACAUUAAAAUGUAAGAAAAUAAAUAACUGAUUAAAUAGAAAAAAUUCACUAAAAUAUUGAAGAUUGACAAAAAUUUGGUGUCUACAGCAUUAAGUAAGGGGGAGCUGUACUUAAAAUUUUUUGCUCCAUCCAUUGUUUUGUCAUCAUCAAAAAGGGGGAGAUUGUUCAUGUCAGUCCGUAUCUUUUGAUGAUUACAAAACAAAUGGAUAUUAUUAAUUUCCCUAAAUAGAUGUUUUCAGAUUUGGAGCAAAACAGGCUACAUAUGUUGAAGCAUGUGUCGAACGAACAAAAAGUCUGCAUCGGCUGUCCGACAACCUUCGAGUAACUUCGGACGCAUAAGGAAUUCACUCUUGGACGUCCGAAGAUAAUAAGCCAAGAUUUUCUAAACUCACUGACUUCAUUCGAACGAACAACACCUGAGUACCGGAUGUUCGACAAACGGUGCGACACUUCGGACGCAAAGCAUUGAAGCUCCGGACGUCCUAAACAUUUCAAGAAAAUUUCUUGAACUCACUGCCUGCGAUCGGACGUGAAAAACCAGUCUAUCGGGCAUCCGACACCACCAAUAGCUAGUUGACUCUUCAGCUGCCUUCUAUCCGUUGACAACAUUAAUUGGAGUACUUUUUGGUCUCUUAUAAAUAGGGAAAAGUCAACCACUUCAGAAGUACUUUGCACAUUGAGACUACAUCAGAUCUUGAGUGAUUCAAGUGUGAGAAUACUCCAAAAGAAGAUUUGUAUUCUUAGUUGUGUAAUUUUCGAUAAGUUUUUCAAGUGUGUUUUAAUUUCUUCAAUAGUGUAGCUUUGUGAGGGUUUUCCGAGAGAUUGUAAAACUUCCUUGCUUGAUCAAGUGAGACUUGGGGAAAGGAGGAAGUGAUCCUUCCUUUGUACACAAGAGACUGGUUGUAAGUUGAUCAACUUGAAGAAGCUUGCUAUAUAAAGUGAUAUUCAAACUCAAGUAGAGUUUGAAACUUGGUUUGCUAUUCUAUCUUUUUACUUACUGUCUUGCAAUAUAAAUUGUCUAUCUCUUCUACUCCCAAGCACUUGUGCUUAUUCAUCAAUUGCUCCAUUGUGUGGUCCUUUAGAAAAAGAGGGUAAGUUCUAGAAAAAGUGACUCACAUCUUGGCUAGCUUUUAAACCACCUAAUUCAUCCCCCCCAUUUAGGUUGUCUUCGAUCCUUACACCCUUGAGGUUUAGACUUAUCAGGUCUACCACCAACUUCCGUUCUCCUACCCAAAUCUCACAAUUUUUAUAGACCAUAUUGGUAACUAGGAUUUGAUCCCAGUAGGUGUUCUAACUUCUAAAUCAUAGGGCAGUUUAACAGGAUUCACAUCAAUUUAACAGGAUAAAUAGGUAAUACUCGAGUAUACCGGUUUCCAGUUUUCAAUAAACAGUCCUCAAGGUUUAUCGGCCUUCUCGACCAAGCCCUUGCCGGCUCGAUACAACCGACUCACCUAUGAGGUUGGGUACCCAAACAAUAGCAGUAGUUGAUGGGGUAUCACCCAAAGAACUCAAACACAGUCACAUAUAGAGAAAUCACAUCUCAUAAUAGCAGUAUACAGAGCCUCAGUGAAAACAAUGGCGGUCGAGUGCGAUAAAGUACACGCCCGCCUCAAUUUUUAUCAAAACAAUGUUUGGCUCAAACAGUCACAAUUCAAGUAUUCAGAUAUUUCAUAUAAACAGGUAACAGGUAGUGGAAUACUCACCUGUCAAGCAAUGUAGUGUUCAAACAUCAAGUCCCUCGGAUACAUUCACCACCGUUUCCCAAUCCUAGGGCAACGAGUGAAAUCGUUAACAAACUAGGUUCAAUUCCAAGCCAAAUGCGAGCUCAUUAGGUGACCAAGUGAGUGGUUAAAUCUACUCAAUUCACCAUGCAAGUUAGGCUCAAAAUGCAGUAAAAGUUCAUGAGAAAACAAUUUUGACAAGUGCAAGAAAGUUGGGCAAAAGAAAAGUUUCAUUCAAGUUCAAAAUGUUCUUCGUGGGUAAAACAGUCGCGGCCGCGCAGUCUCGGGAAAACGGCCAUAUCUCACUGUAGGAAGGUCAGAAUCAAGUACCGUCAGUGGUGUUGAAAACUAAACCCAAAGGGCUUUCCAACAGUACCAAAUACAGACUCUAGUUCAUCUCCUAUCAGUACCAGUAGCUCUGACAAGUUGGCUGAUAUUUCAGUCCUAAUCAGUCCUAAACCCUAGUAAAGUUGCACUAGCUCUUGGUGCAAACUUCACUUGUUUUGGCUCAAAUUCAUCCAAUUUAAUCUCCUAUGGUUCAUAUACAGGGAAGCAAGUUAUCUAGUAUCAUUGGAGCUCAAAAUGCAACACACAAAAAUGAUUAAAAGAACCAUAACAGUCUAGCCAUCAAAAGGAACCAAAACAGUCCACUAGUGGUCCAAACAACCACUUUACUUGCUUCAUUUCUAUAUUAAUUCACACCAAACCUUAACCAAAUGUUAAGCCGAGUUUCUUAGGCUUAAAUAAGGUGCAAAUGAACUACAAAAUCAAGGAGUAACCUCCUCUACCAAACCGGUCAGCCAAGGGGAAGAAAAACAGUUCACUAGUUCACUUAUGUCACCAACCUUCAUCCUUUCAUUGUUUUCACUUAAACAACAUGUCAAGUGUUAUCUCUAAUUCAAAAAGGGUUCAAAACAUAUUAAUACAUAAAAGAAAGCUAUGAACAAAGCUUAAACAUUUCAUCAAACACAUGGUCGGCAAACUAACUAACCCUACUACCACUUGUUUAGUUCAAGAAAAUUCACCACAAAUAUCAUCCAAACAACUUCUAGUUUGCCAACAACUCUUAAAACAUUUCAUAUAACACAAGAAAACUAGGAUUUAAGGUUCAUGUACCUCUCUUCUAUGAAGCUUGAACCACCAAAAUAAUCCACCAACACCAAAGCUCUAGGCUUGAAACACACUCUAGGGUUGAAGGCAAAUCACUCACCAACUCAAGCUCUUUCUCUUAUGAUUUUUGUUCAAGUUCAAACUAAGGUUGUAAUAGCAAGAAGAUGGAGUUUUCUUCCUUCCCUUGGAAGCUUCAAGGUGCCCGAAAUUUUGGAGGAAAAAAAUGAAGCAAAGUUGGUUUAAAAUUCCUCUAAUCCUUUGGUCAACAAGGUGGAUGGCUAGGGUUUGGCCACUUGGCCCAAUCUUGGCCCUUUCUUCCCUUAAUCUUUUGACUAAUGAAGUUUCUAUCAUCCAAAUGUACCAAUACCCAUUUAACACCUCUAAACUAUCAUAUAAAUUUCCAACUACUAAUAGAAUGACACUUGGUCAAAGUGUGCGUGCUGAAAUAAAAUAAAACCAACUCAAGGAAAUGUUACAAUCCAAAUAAGAAUAAUAAAAUGCAAUAUAAGGAAAUGUUAUAAUGCAUGUAGAAUACAAUGCAAGGACAUGUUAUAAGUGAUUUAAAUCUUAGGGCAAGGCAUGUAGUUUAGGAAAAAUUGUGUUUUAAAGUGAGGGUUCUCACACUCUUUCCCCCUUAAAGAAUUUCGUCCUCGAAAUUCUCACAUUGAUCACUGAAUAGCUUAGGAUAUUUUGCACGAAUUUCCUUUUUCACUUCCCAAGUAGCUUCCUCUACCUCAUGAUUUCUCCACAAAACUUUUACCAAAGGUAUCUGUUUAGUCCUUAAUUCCUUUAUUUUUCGAUCUAAGAUCUGCACCGGCCUUUCUUCAUAAGUCAGAGAUUCGUCAAUGUCAAUUUCUUCUGGCUUCAGUACAUUAGUGGUGUCUGGAUGAUACUUCUUCAACAUGGAAACGUGAAAUUGUGACAGCUCCACCUCCCCCUAAGAUGAACCAAAGGGGUCAGCGGACCGCCUGCUCAACUCUCGCCGGGUCUCAGUCGUUCACUUCAAUCCUCAAUCGAAACCAGAAUAAACCAAGAAUAAACAUAACAACGAUCCAAAACUUAAAGCACAACUUAUAUACAUUGCUAUCUCAAAAGGGAGUACAACCAUCGAAUAUAUAAAGAUUCUCAAUUCACCAUACAUCCAGCCCGUACCGAGCACUAGGGCGAGAACCAUUACAAAAUCAAAAAACUAGUCUAGGCUAGUCUCUACCGAGCUCUCGCCCUUCCCCUGUUAAGGAAAACAAAACUAAAGGGAUGAGCUAAAAGCUCAGUGAGGUCCGAACACAUAAUCAAACAAUAAGUUCAAUACAUUAACCAUCAAUAAUCAAUAAGUCAAGAAACAUUUACAAUGGAAAGCAAUACUAACACAUUCAUUGAAAGGAUACGUGCUCACAAGGAGCCAUUCAUUCAUUCAUUCGUUUAUUCUCCUUUCAUUCGCUUAUUCCUCCAAUCGUUUGAAAAUGCAUUUCGAUAAGUAAUCGUUCGUUCAUUCAUUUCAUUCACCCCCUCCUGGACAUUGGCCAAGCUCCACCCGACAACAAGGUAAUACUCGAGUAUACCAAAUAUUCACCCAGGGUCACCAUAUCGCCCGACCGAGUCGGCUUCUGGUUCGAGUCGAUCGGUAACGAAGGGCAGGGCUCAGUUCAACCAAAAGGCUUACAUCCAUGCACAUGUAACGUUUCAAUCAUUAAAUCAUUAAAAAUUUCACAUUUCAUUUAGGUUGAGCGCGAUAAAGUACAUACUCGCCUAGAAAACUCGUUUUGAAAAUCCUUGAAAGCACUUAACACAUUGUCAAACAAUAACACAAGCCAUGAAGUCAAGGAAAAUAUAACAAACAAGGAACACUCACCUAUUUACGCAAAAUAACGUCCAAAAUAUCCUUCCGAAUAACACCCUCAAUCACCAAGGUAUCCUAAUAUAAUCAAACGAACACAUUAUGUUUCAACCAUCAAAGAUGUAAGUGAGUCAAAGAAAAGUCGAAUACGUACUAGUAUAAAGUAUAAAUAUGGUUUUGGUAGUGAAAAGAGUACAUUGAAACCAAAGGACAUAAGUAAAAUAUUUGUAAAACUUAGACUCACUUGUAAAACUUUAAAAUCGCUAUUUGAGUCGAAGUGGCAAAGAAAAUGUAAAUACCCUAGAUGGUUCACAUGGUAUUCGCUCUCAAACCUUACUCAAGUCGCAAGUAUAUCGACCUAGUUCUCGAGCGUAAAUUUGGACAGCACGCCCUUUGUAUUUACCUAUUUUCCAGCCAUUUAUGGCUUCAUUCUUUUCCUCAAUCAAACCCAAAGUCAUAUACAAAAUCAUCUCAUUUCAAUAGCCAUUUCAUAGGCUCCAAGUCAUACAAGUACAAAAUCAAGCUAGGAGCAUGUGCGGAAAUGAAGGUUGAGUCAAGAAAUAAAAGACAGAUUUGACAUUAUUUUGCGUAACGGACACAACCGAAGCUACCCUUAUCGGAUUGGGGUGAAAUUUAUACUGUUUCUAAGCUAAGACAAAGGCCUACAACUUUGAUGAAGACCACUCAGUCCAGUUUGUAGUGUAUCUAAGUCAAAAUCUCAAAUGAUAGAACCAGAAUCUCACAUUCGGGCUUGUUAACCGCCUUAUGCGUAAAUGACAAUAACUCAAGCUACCAAAGUCCAAACAAGGUGUUCCAGGGGCAUUGGAAACCUAAGACAUAGCACUACAACUUUUGUGUUUUGGCCAAAGGCUAAUUCAGUACACAUCAGGGUGAACAGACACGGUUAGUGUUGUGAAAUAUCAAAAUUGUCCACUGGACUAAACCUAUGAGAGUCAGGGGUAUUUUUGUCUUUUCACAGGAUACAUUACUGUGAUUGAGCUGAAAUUUUGUAGGCAUUCUAUACAACUUUCAUGUUUUAUUGUAAGCCUAAUUCGGCCUCUAACAUCAUGAACUAGAACCGGGCAGAACUGAAGCUUGAAUUUCCAGAAAUCUGGACUUUUGUUAUAGUCAAGCUAUAAUUCACAUUUUUACCUUAAAAUUACUGGAAUAGACUUGAAGCCAAUUAAGUUACCAUAUGACUUGGAGGUUAAAACACCCACUGGGGACAAAAGUCUAAUUGCUAAUCUGGUGUAUAAGAAUAGUGAAAUCUGCGUGAACGAAAGAAAAUUGCUGGCCGAUUUGAUAGGUCUAGCGAUUAAAGGAUAUGAUGUGAUCCUAGGAAUGGAUUGGUUAGCCCGUUAUAAUGCCCAACUGAAUUGUAGGACGAAAAUUGUAGAAUUGUGUAUUCCAGGGGAGGCAACCCUGAAAUUGGAUGUGAGGGGUAAGUUAGCCUCAUCUGCACUUAUUUCGGGAAUUCGGGCUAGAAAAUUGUUGAAUAAGGGAGCUCAAGGAUAUUUGGCUUUUCUUAUUAAUACCCUUAGCGAUAAGGUGAAUCUGGAGGACACACCGGUAGUGAAAGAAUUUUCCGAUGUUUUUCCUGAAGAAUUGGAGUCUUUUACCCCCGGAACGGGAAAUAGCUUUUAAAAUUGAUGUAACUCCGGGAUCGACACCUAUCUCAAGGACACCAUAUAGGAUGGCUCCAGCUGAGUUGAAAGAGUUGAAGUUACAAUUACAGGAUUUGUUGGAACGGGGUUUUAUUCGAGAGAGUGAUUCUCCGUGGGGAGCCCCAGUUUUGUUUGUAAAGAAGAAAGAUGGGAGUUUGAGGUUAUGUAUAGAUUAUCGAGGCUUAAAUGAUGUUACGGUUAAGAAUAAAUACCCACUACCCCACAUUGAUGAACUGUUUGACCAAUUGCAAGGGGCGGUAGUGUUUUCAAAGUUGGAUCUAAGGCAAGGUUACUAUCAAUUGAGGAUUUUAGAGAAGGACAUACCUAAGACUGCUUUUAACUCGAGGUAUGGGCACUUCGAGUUUGCAGUAAUGCCUUUUGGGUUAACCAAUGCACCUGCCGCUUUCAUGGAUUUAAUGCAUAGGGUUUUUAAGCCUUACUUGGAUCAAUUUGUGGUGAUCUUCAUUGAUGAUAUUUUGGUGUAUUCUAAGAAUACGAAGGAUCAUGAGAAACAUUUGAGAAUUGUUUUACAGAUCUUGAGGGAACAUCAGUUAUAUGCUAAGUUUAGCAAGUGUGAAUUCUGGCUGAAAGAAGUGACUUUCCUAGGGCAUAUAAUUUCUCAGGAUGGGAUUAAAGUGGAUCCAGCUAAAGUUGAAGCUGUUUCAAAUGGAAACGACCGGAAAACCCAACGGAAGUUCGGAGUUUUAUAGGAUUGGCAGGGUAUUACCGGAGAUUCAUCCAGGAUUUUUCGAAAAUUGCUGGACCUAUGACUGAGUUGACCAAGAAAAAUGGAGAAUUUAUUUGGAGUCCUAAGUGUGAAGGAAGUUUUCAGGAGUUGAAAAGACGGUUGACUAGAGUGCCUGUUCUAGCUCUACCUAAUGGACAGGAUAGUUUUGUGGUUUACACAGAUGCUUCUAAGGAAGGUUUGGGAUGUGUUUUGAUGCAAAAUGAUAAAGUGAUAGCUUAUGCAUCUAGGAAAUUGAAACCGCAUGAAGGAAAUUAUCCGACCCAUGAUUUGGAGUUAGCGGCUGUGGUCUUUGCUUUGAAGAAAUGGAGACACUAUUUGUACGGAGUAACAUUUGAGGUUUUUACAUAUCACAAAAGCCUUAAGUACUUAUUUUCUCAGAAGGAGCUGAACUUGAGGCAACGUAGAUGGAUGGAAUUUCUGGAAGAUUAUGAUUGUACGAUUAAGUACCAUCCAGGAAAGGCCAAUGUAGUGGCCGAUGCUUUGAGCCGUCAGGUACAAAUGGCUGGAUUGAUGGUUAAGGAAUUUCAGUUGUUGGAGGAAGUUAGCUAUUGGAAUCCUCGAUUAGAACCAAGGAAAGUAAUUUUGGGGAAUAUUGUGAUAACCUUCACUUUAUUGGAACGCAUUAAGGAAUCUCAGGAAAAGGACCCUGAAGUGCAAAAGUUGGUGGAGAAAGUUAAGACGGGAGACCAGACGGAUUUCAAAUUGGGAUCAGAUGGAAUAUUGAGAUUUCGGAAUCGGGUGGUUGUGCCAAAGGAUGAAGGGCUUAGAAAAGAAAUUUUAGAAGAGGCACACCGAUCAAAGUUUACAGUACAUCCAGGAGGGAAUAAAAUGUACCAAGACUUGAAAAGUCUAUAUUGGUGGAAAAAUAUGAAGAAAGAAAUUGCCCAAUUCGUUCAGACAUGCUUGGUUUGUCAACAGGUUAAAGCCGAGCAUCAAAAACCCUCAGGACUUUUGCAACCUCUAGAAAUACCUGAGUGGAAAUGGGAGAAUAUUACCAUGGAUUUUGUAUCAGGCUUACCAAGGACACAGAGAGGCCAUGAUGCCAUUUGGGUAAUAGUGGAUAGAUUGACUAAAUCGGCUCAUUUUCCACCGAUUAACAUGAAAUACCCGUUAGAAAAGCUGGCCAGGUUGUACUUGGAUGAGAUCAUCAGACUACAUGGUAUACCUGUGAGUAUUGUGUCAGAUAGGGAUCCAAGAUUUGUUUCGAGGUUUUGGCAAAAGAUGCAAGAAGUAUUGGGGACUAAGUUAAACUUUAGUACCACCUAUCAUCCUCAGACUGAUGGACAAUCUGAAAGAACAAUUCAGACCCUUGAGGACAUGUUGAGGACUUGUGUACUGGAUUUUGGAGAGAGUUGGAGUAAGUUUUUGACUUUAGUGGAAUUUGCCUAUAACAAUAGUUUCCAUUCUUCUAUUCAAAUGGCUCCAUACGAAGCACUUUAUGGUCGGAAGUGUAGAUCCCCAAUUUGUUGGGAUGAAGUAGGUGAACGAAAAAUUUUAGACCCGACUACCGUAUCUUGGAUUGAGGAGGCUAAUGAAAAGGUAAAGUUGGUACGGCAAAGGAUUCAAACCGCUCAGAGUAGACAAAAAAGUUAUGCCGACAAUCGGAGAAAGGAUUUGGAGUUCACUGUUGGAGAUGUGGUAUUUCUCAAGAUUACGCCUUUAAAAGCGAGCUUGAUGUCCGGAAAAGGGAAGAAACUACAACCAAGGUUUGUAGGGCCAUAUAAGAUUAUUCAACGAGUUGGGAAUGUAGCCUAUAAGCUGGAGUUACCACCGAGUUUAUCUCGUAUUCAUAACGUGUUUCAUGUGUCCAUGCUUAAGAAAUAUCAUCCCGACCCCUCUCAUGUUUUACAACCGGAGAAUAUUGAAAUCGAUGAAACCUUAACCUAUGAGGAGAGACCGGUAAAACUUCUGGAUCGAAAGGUGAAGGAACUGAGGAACAAACAGAUACCACUAGUGAAAGUUCUAUGGAAGAACCAUGGAGUAGAGGAGACAACAUGGGAAGUUGAAGAGACAAUCAGAGAGAAAUAUCCAGACUUGUUCGUCAACCAAGGUAAAUUUCGAGGACGAAAUUUUCUUAAGGGGGAGAGGAUGUGAGGACUCGUAAAAAAAAAAAAAACUAUUAUUUUAUGCCUAAUUUAUGGCUUAAUAAAUUAUUUAAUUGGAUUUUUGCCACGAGGAAUAUUUUCUAGUCUUAUUAGACCUAAAUACAUGAUAAUAUAACUUCGUUAUAUUUUUAAAAUGAUUCGUUUCAAAAAUUAAUUUCCUGCAGUACGUUUAGUAAAAAUAGUGAAUAGUACUUGGAGAUUUUAUCCGCGUAGUAGCACAAUAAGCUUGGAAUAUUGGAGACUUGUACUAUGGUCCUAAAAUAGGUAAUCUUAUGAGUAAAUACUCAAGUGAUAGUUAGUAGUGCAAUUGUUAUAAGAAUUUCUUGGAAGUUUCGCGUUAUAGCGUUAAAAUUGACGGUACGCGUUUUCACACGCGCGACUUUAUUUGAGGGACUUUAGACCCUUAUUUCGGGACAAUUAAGAGUGAAUAAUACUUACAUGAAUAUACAUGCAUUGAAGGUUCAGUGCACUAGUGAACCAAACGCGCGAGAAAAUCGAGCCUAAUCGCGCCAAACACACCCUAAUAAGAGUUGACUUUGGAGUGAUUGUGCACCACCCAUUUAAUCUUCUCUUGGAAGCUAAAUUUUGAUCACACUUCACUCCUUCUUCCUCCCAAGACAGCCGGCCAACAUCUCUCUCUCUCUCACACUCUUGCUUCACAAAUUUCUUCACUAAAUCAACCCAAAACCUCAACCAAUCUUCACCAAACUUGAGGAUCAUCUAGCAUACUACUUGGAGGUUGGAUUUAGCUAGCAAAAAGGGCUGCAUUUUCACGGUUUCUUGGAGCUCUAGAGGGCCGAAAAUUUCUGGGUUAAAGCAUUAAGGAGGUAUAACUUCAUCUUGCACUUUAAACUUGGAUUAUGAUGUAGAAAUGCAUCUUUAAGCUAUUGCAUGUGGUUGGGUGGCUUGAUACGGUUGUAAAAUGUGAUAGUGGGCUCUUGGUAUUCCCACACUUGGGUUGUUGUUGCUGAUUAGAGGAUCAAUGUUGGGUUUAAUGGUAGUUUAAUGGUUAUAAUGAUGGAUUUAUGGAGUAUUAUUGUUGGAAACUCAAAGUAGAGGUCAUGACCAGAAAUUGCUGAAUCUGCCCCUGUUUUGUUCGGCCAUGAUAAGGCCAAUUUUUGGUGAUUUAUUGGCAUGAACCUGAUGUGUAUAUGUUAUAUUAUAUGUGUAGAAAUUUUCGUUGGAAAACAUUAACGUUUGGAUGGGCAAAUGAAUUUAUUCGUGGACUAGGCAAGCUGGGAAAUUAUUUUCGGGUAACCCUGUCCAGCGGUAGUAUUUUGACCAUAACUCUGUCCUCGGGUGUCGAAAUCAAGUGCCGUCGGUGGCGUUUGAAACUAGACAUCCAUGGAUUUAAUUUGAGAUAAAAUUCACGUUCUGAUUCUUUGUGAGUGAGCCGAACCAAAUGUUUUAAGAUAGCUGUCCUGUCUCUCGGAUUUGCUGGAAUGGCUUGUAGAGGCAGCAACUUGAGGCUCAAUUUUGAGCUGGUUGCUAGCCAAAUUUCAAAACGUUUCCUUUUGUAAACUUUUAGUCCCGUGAAUUUAUUUUCUAACGCCAUAAACCAUGCCUCAUUCCGAGUUAAAUUGAUUGAGUUGUGACUAAAACAAGAGGACUGCCCUGUUUUGGAAAAACGUAGUAUUUGGACUGAUUUGAGGCAAAACUUGGGAAUGAUUUUAUUAAUUGAAGUUCUUGAUGCUCAUCACUUACAAAAAGUAUCAUGGAUGUAUCUUAGACCUUUAUCUCACAAAUGAACCAUGGUCGGAUAGUUUUCUUGGUUAAACGAUUUGAAAUUUGGAAAUGAAAGUCAAAAGGCAGAUUGCCUUAGAAAUUUUCUGGAACUUUGGAUGAUUAGUUAACUACCUUUCCGAGGGUAUUUUUCCCUGAAAUUUGAUAGAGAAAUACCUUUCAUAUAUGAGUAAAAUACUGCCAAUUUUGGCACCAAUUCAAGUUCGUUUCGAUACCGAAUUAAAUUCCUAGUGUUGGAGGUUCAAAACUGGAAAUUCUCCUUCAGUCUUGAAUCUUCCUCAACUUUGAGUUACCGUAUCUCGGUACUCGAAACUCCGAUUCUUGAUCCGCUUGUCUUGUUAUAAACCUCACUUGUAACACUAAUUGAGCUGCAAAUUUCAGAGGCCGGUUUACAACGUGUGAAUCGUGCCGAAUUUCCAAAGUUGGCCGAAAUCCAACUUAAUUCUGCCUUGUACGCCGAACCUGUACCUUCAAGCUCAUUUUUGAGUACUUUCCACUUAGAUUCAUGGAAAGGUGUCUUCUAAGAACUUUUAACACUCUCCAAAAAGUUUCCAACGGUAUAAAGUUUCCCAGUUUUGGACUUAUAUCGAAAGAGAUACGAAUUUUCAAAGAUUUAGGACAAAACUGAAAUUUCUCAAUUUUCAAGGCAAAGGAGUUUUUCCAAAACUCUAAAUUCUCUUAGUAUUAUUCAAACGUUUUGCCCUCGCUUUUCAUGAUAAAAACUCAAAUAAUAUUGUACAUAAUAAAAGGCAAGUUGAACCUCGAUUUACGAGUAAUUGAGGUUCAUUUUGUGAAAUAUUCCUUAGAUUGUACUAGUGUACAAUCUUCCUUGACUAGUGGGUUAAUUGUGUGAUUAUCCGCUAUUAAUUGCCAGGCGUUCAAGAAGGCAUUCAAGAGGAUCUUACUGUGGACACUUGAACUCCCAGAAAAUAAUUCUUAUUGAAUUGCUUGGUGAGUGUCAAGUGUGUGAAUCUAUGAUACUUGCUUAUUUGUGCAAAUUGUUGGAAGUUUUAAAAGUAAGGGCGGGUGCGUACUUUACCUCACUCGUUCUAAUAUCAAAUGAAUGAAUGAAAUGUAUUGAAUGAAUGAAUGAAAUGCAAUGUUAUGUUAUGAUUACAUGUGUCGUUGGAGUGAACCUCCUCGACUUUCAAAUGAAUGGGGGACGCCCAAACUCAUAGGCCGACCUUAGACUCGAGCCAGCAAUGGGCUUGGUCGGGGACUUAGGCGUGCCAUGAGAUAUAAAUGAGCUUGACCUAAUGAGAGGUCUUGCUCGGCAUACUCGUGGAGUAUCGCCUUAUAAAUGACUUGUGGGCCCUUGAGGUGUACGGUGGACGGAGGGAAGUAAGUGGUGAUCUACGGAAAUGGAAAUACCGACCCGGUUGAUAGGAGGGUCAAUGCGGGAAGGUAUACGAAUGACAUCGGCAGAGCGAGUGGAACUUAGCUCCUGAGAGCUACUAUAUCCUUGAAUUGUUUCUGAUUACUUUUCCUGUUCGAAUGAUUGAUUAUUGAAGGGACAUGGUUUUACUUAUUUGAUUUGGGAUUGCUAUUUGAACAAAGUGCUUGCAUGUGUAUUCUUGGCCUCACGAGCGUUUAGCUCAUCCUAUAGUUUUUGUUUUCCUUAACAGGACCGAAUCUUGGAGAAGUAUGGAGAAACCAUUCGUUACACUUUUGUUAAGACUCCUGCUAUAUUUUGACUAGGCCCUGGUUUGGAUUGUACUUUUGGAAAUUGUAAAUUUGAAAGUUUGGGCCCUGACGUGUAUGUUGAAUUUAAGUUGUUUUAUGAUUACCGAUGUAUUGGUUACAUGUUAUGUGACUUGAUAAGCUUGAACGCUUCCGCAUUAUUGUGUUCAUAUUGUUCUCUUCGAAGUGUUUAGUCCGGUUUUAAAUUGAAUGGAAUUGCUUGAGUCCUGGCGAGAGCUGGGCAGGCGUCCGCGGAUACCCUUUGGUCCGCCUUAGGGAGAUGUGGGGCGUCACAGGUAGUAGCUUAAGGGUUUUUCUUCCAAAACAACUCCACCAAGACCUUUGUUCUUCCUUAGAUAACACUCUUAUGGAAGGGUUUGCGAUUCUAUCGGUUGAAACUCCAAAUUUUAGCAAGAAAUGGAAGGACAAAUUGAAGGUUCUCUAUUGGUUUUUCUCCUUACAAGGGCCGGCCAACAAGCAUAAGAAAUGAAGAUGAUUUUGGUCAAUUUUGAGGUUUAGUAAAGGUGAUGAAAAUUAGUCAAAGUCCAACUUGCAAUAGGGUCAUGACACUUGGCACAUUCUUAAGUUAUUCUUAUCCCUUUGUCUACCAAGCUUAACCUAGAUAACUAUCCUCUAAUUAUCUCCUCACACCCUGUAAAAUAAUAUCUCUCAAUACGAAACUUAACCUAGUCAACAAAAUUUUAUUGCACUUACCACGCUAGCGGGUCCCACGUCCUAUAUACACUCCAAAAUUAUCAUGAGCUAACCUAUGCUAGAAAAGGAUUUAAAAAUUAUAUUUACUCAUAAAAAUCUCUGGCAAAUCAAUAUAUUAGGGUAUAAUGAAGAAAAUGCAUGCGAGAAAAUAAAAUAAAAUAUUAUAAAAGAAAGAGAAUUUACGGGUCCUCACACUCUCUCCUCCUUAAAGAAAUUUCAUCCUCGAAAUUUUGUUACCACAAUCUAUUUAGAGAGAAAUCGUAAUACUGCUAUGACUAAAAUGCCGUGCUAAGAAAAUCAGUGAAGACAUCGAAAGUUUCCCCCUUUUCGAACCACAGACGUAAAUUUCACUUAACAUCGAGACUAAAGAUAAUAAAAGAUACUGUCAAAACACCAAUAUUUAAUAUUACUCAUCAAAAUAUCAAGUACUAAGUCCACUACUUUUAUCGGAAACAUACUCACUACAUUGAGGUUGCAUACACAUAGGUCCAUAAAUACAAUUAUUUCAGCUAACAUAUCACUACUUGCCGAUUUUAACUAUUACAGCAGAUUCACCAUCCAAAAAUUCAUCUGUUCUGGGCAGUUCCUCACUUGGUGUCCCAGUUGGCCGCAUCUAAAGCAUGCACCAAUUUUCACAUAACAUAAUCCCGUAUGACUUUUGUUACACGUUUCACACUUAGUAGCCACACAUUUCUUCUUGAAGUGUCCAUUCUUUUUCUUCUUCCUCCCCUUAUCCCUCAUAGCAAUUCCAUUUCCAUCCAUCUCUUUACGUUUCCCUUUGUGGUCGCGAACACUUCCUUCUUCUCUUUCAUCUUUAUUACUAGGAAUGUCCUGAGAGGCCAUUUGACUAGACGAAGGCACUAACUCAAACUUACUUCGUACCUCUUCCGGAAUCCCUUCUUAUUUCUUUUUCAGCUCCAUGUUCUUGUGCAGUAGCUCAAUUUUCUCCGAAUACUCCUGUUUCCAUCGCCCUUCCCAGUGCUCAGCUAAUCUCUUUUGGAACUCUACUUCCUUUCGAAGAAUCUCUAUCUCCUUAGACAUAUCAACCAAAUGUGCCAUCUUACUGAUUCGCUCGAACUCAAGUGAUAGCCUGCCAGGCAAAUUAGAGAAUCAAGAUAAGUAACUAAGUACACUUGGAACUUUAACCAUAUAACUGUUAAGUUCCCUCACUCCCAAUCCAACCACGAAAAAUUAAACGUAGAAGCAUACAGGUAUAGAGGCCAAAUCCUUUCUCUCAAAUUUUCAUACCUAAUUCUAAAUUCUCGAUCUCGACAUAAUAAUAAUCAAGUCAGGUCCAUACUUUGACAUCAAGGGAUAAAUAUCAAGAAAAUAUAGGCAAGGUUAGUUUAUCGAGAGCCAAACUACGGUUAUCGAAUCUCACAAGAGGGGUAGAAAAUACCUCUAUGGUUGUAGCUAGACUAACUCAAAGUCAUGUAAUCACUUAUCAAGUCCUCACUGUCAUAGCAAAAGGGAACAAGUCUUAGGUGCGAAUUCCCUUACAAUCUAGCCAGCCUCUAGAAAGCCCGAGCCAAACUAGUACACGAGUAGUCCAUGAUAACACUUUCAUAUCAAACCCCCCCUCGACCAGUCUAAUUACUAGCUCAAAUGUAAAAUCUUCCGUGCCUUGGCCUUUGCCAUCCAGACAUACCUCAAAUUCAAUCAAGAUACAGACCCUUAUACUUGGGACCCUUAUACAGACCCUUAUCAAGAUACUCAAGUGAUAGCCUGCCAGGCAAAUUAGAGAAUCAAGAUAAGUAACUAAGUACACUUGGAACUUUAACCAUAUAACUGUUAAGUUCCCUCACUCCCAAUCCAACCACGAAAAAUUAAACGUAGAAGCAUACAGGUAUAGAGGCCAAAUCCUUUCUCUCAAAUUUUCAUACCUAAUUCUAAAUUCUCGAUCUCGACAUAAUAAUAAUCAAGUCAGGUCCAUACUUUGACAUCAAGGGAUAAAUAUCAAGAAAAUAUAGGCAAGGUUAGUUUAUCGAGAGCCAAACUACGGUUAUCGAAUCUCACAAGAGGGGUAGAAAAUACCUCUAUGGUUGUAGCUAGACUAACUCAAAGUCAAGUAAUCACUUAUCAAGUCCUCACUGUCAUAGCAAAAGGGAACAGGUCUUAGGUGCGAAUUCCCUUACAAUCUAGCCACCCUCUAGAAAGCCCGAACCAGACUAGUACACGAGUAGUCCAUGAUAACACUUUCAUAUCAAACCCCCCCUCGACCAGUCUAAUUACUAGCUCAAAUGUAAAAUCUUCCGUACCUUGGCCUUUGCCAUCCAGACAUACCUCAAAUUCAAUCAAGAUACAGACCCUUAUAUCGCGCUCUCUACUAUUCAAUACUCAAGUACAAGAAUCCACAAUAAGAUAAUUCACAACUCGAGCCGGCCGGUCCCAAGAGUAAAUCAUCCAUAUUAUAGAUUCCUACCCGACAUACAUAUCUAUCUUCCUCAAGUUCUAUGAUAAAGAUUUUUACACUUAUAACAUGCCCAGUUCAUAACUUAUGCUCAUACGAGCACUUAGACAUAUUUAUGAAAUCAGGACCAUAACACCACUUGGCCCCAAGCUCACUCCGCGCAGAGACCAUGCGAAGCGGCUCUGAUACCACCUGUGACAGCCCCACCUUACCCUAAGGCGAACCAAAGGGUUCGGCGAACAGCCUGCCUAACUCUCGCCAGGACUACUAAGACAGUUAUACACAAUCUAAGACCUUCCGAAGGAAAAUAGCGCGCUUACACGAUUCAAAAUCGCAAAACGAAAACGAAAAAAUGAAAAAAUCGGAACCGUAAAUGAAUAGUGAUUGCCACAUCACCAUCCAGCCAAAAUCCAAUCGAAUACAGAUAAUGUCAUAUAACUCGGGAGAAAACAUUUCCAAACCAAAUAGGAUACAUGAACAUGGUUAAACAGUUUUAUACACAUACGUUUCAAAUUUACAAAUCCAAAGGGAAAUAUUUGGAUCAAGGUACAUUUAGAGUUUUCCAACUUCCAAGGAGCUAUGCAAAAAGGUAUUUAUACAAGCUCUAUUCUUUCUUCAAAAUGAUCAUUGGUCCAAAAGAUGGUUCCCUGUAAGGAAAAUAAGGAUAACGGGACCGGGUGAGUUAGAAGCUCAAUGAGGUACCAAAAUUAUAAACAGUAGAAAUCAUGAGAAAACAUUUUUAAGACACUUAUUCACAUCAAAUACGAGAAAUGAAUGAACACCACAAUGUAAAGGAUACAGGUGGCUCUCAGGAGCCAAAUUCCCAUUGCAAUACUUGAUCCAGCCUCGUUGACCCUCCGUCAACAUUCAAAUAAAGAAACCAGUCCAGUAGAACACCACUUUAACGCCAAAAUCCCAUUCACCAAACAUACCCCCUUACCGGGCCCGAACGACAAACAGGAACAGGAAUGGUAAUACUCGAGUAUACCGGAAAUUCAGAGUCUUCAAUACCCAUAGAUUUCCCAGGAACAGGCACCCAUGGAUUGUCAAUUUUCUCGACUAAGCCCUUGCUGGCUCGAUUCAAUCAACUCUCCAUGAGGUUGAGUUCAGAUUUAAUAGGAUGGUCGUCGGAUGCACUUCCAAACGACGUUAUAACAGGCGCAGGUAACAGAUUCAAGUAUAUACAGGAAACAAGUCAUACAGGCCAGAGAGCGAGUGUGAUAAAGUAUACCCUCGUCUCGUACAAAAUAAACAGACGGGAAAUACAUUCAAAUGGCAAUGUGCAAGUACAGAUAACCAGUUUAGCAAUAAUUCAGGGGAGUGGUACACUCACCGGUUCAAGUACAGAUACUUCAACAAAAGUUUUCACUUCAAACUGGCUUUAAUCGCCAAGAAACCCUAAAAUCAUCAAAGUAAAACAAUUGAAGGUUUCACAUCCAAAAUCGAGUAAACGGAAAGCACAAGUAAGGCUCGACUACAUGUCGUACGCCUUUCCAGAUUAAGUACUAGUACAAAAGAAUAAAAUAUGACUUUUGAGCAAAAAAAUAACAGUUGGUCCUAGGGUUAUAAACAACCCCCAAAACCUUUCAUUUGUACUAAAAUCAACUCAACUUGAAGGAAUCGCGUAGUCCUAAAAUUUUAGGCAGCAUGCCCUCUGUAUUUUGCUAUAUUCCAGCCAUUUAUGGCUUCAUUAUUUUUCCUCAACUCAAUCCAAUCCAACACAUAAGAAAUCUCAAUACAAUAGCCCUUCAACUAGGCUCAAGUUCAUCCAAAUACAAAGCAAGUCUAGGAAUGCAAUUGGAAAUCAAGUUUUAAGGACAAAAGCUAAAUAGCAGGUUUGACAUCUCUUAGCGUAUCGGUCAUAACCGAAGCUAAGCUUAUCGGAUUGGGGUACAAUUUAUACCAUUUCGAACCUAAGACAAAGAGGUAUAACUUUGAUGAAGACCACUCUGUCCAGUUCGUAGUGUAUCUAGGUCAAAUUUUCAAAUUACAGAACCAAAAUCUCACAAUUAGACUAGUUAACCACACUAUGAUUGAACGACAAUAACUCAGGCUACCGAACUCCGGUUGAGGGAUAUCUUAUGGAGUUUCGAAGCCAAGACAUGUACCUACAUUUCUUAUGAAGGCCUCCAAAGCUAAAUCAUGCAUUUUCAUGGUCAAAAAUGGAAAACUCCACGAAAAUAGAAAUCUGUCCGCGAAACAGGGUUCAUGGGCAGUCAAGGGUAUUUCGAUCAUUUCACAUGCUACAGUGCUCCGAUUGAGCUGAACCUUCGUAGACAGCUAGUUAACACCAUUUGCUACAACUUUCAUGUUUUAACCUAAGCCUGAUUCGGCCUCUAACAUGGUCAAACAUAACCGGGCAGAACAGGGAAAAUUGGAACCCUAACACUGAAAUUUUUCGCAUAAGCUGAAAUUUUUCGCAAAUAACCGCAAUUAACGCACAAGAGAUCCAUUUAACACAAUUUAGACCCAUCAAUCCAAGGCCAACCAUAAUCAUCAUGUGAAAACAGAAAAAUCCCAAAAAAAUCAGAAAUUUAGCUAACUUCACUUUAAUCCAUGAAAUCUUCCAUAAAAUCACCUAGUUAGCUACCAUAAGUCACCAAUUGACCAUUAUCAGGAACAACGAGUGAGUUCCAAGCAAAAUACCUUAACUCCUCAAGAAAGGUAGUAGCUUAGGGGUUUUUCUUCCAAAACAACUCCACCAAGACCUUUGUUCUUCUUUAGAUAACACUCUUAUGGAAGGGUUUGCGAUUCUAUCGGUUGAAACUCCAAAUUUUAGCAAGAAAUGGAAGGACAAAUUGAAGGUUCUCUCUUGGUUUUUCUCCUUACAAGGGCCGGCCAACAAGCAUAAGAAAUGAAGAUGAUUUUGGUCAAUUUUGAGGUUCAGUAAAGGUGAUGAAAAUUAGUCAAAGUCCAACUUGCAAUAGGGUCAUGACACUUGGCACCUUCUUAAGUUAUUCUUAUCCCUUUGUCUACCAAGCUUAACCUAGAUAACUAUCCUCUAAUUAUCUCCUCACACCCUGUAAAAUAAUAUCUCUCAAUACGAAACUUAACCUAGUCAUCAAAAUUUUAUCGCACUUACCACGCUAGCGGGUCCCACGUCCUAUAUACACUCCAAAAUUAUCAUGAGCUAACCUAUACUAGAAAAGGAUUUAAAAACUAUAUUUACUCAUAAAAAUCUCUGGAAAAUCAAUAUAUUAGGGUAUAAUGAAGAAAAUGCAUGCGAGAAAAUAAAAUAAAAUAUUAUAAAAGAAAGAGAAUUUACGGGUCCUCACAUUACACAUGAAUUUUCUAUUGCAAGAGUCCCCCAACAAAAUGGGGUUGUUGAAAGAAAAAAUAGAACUCUUCAAGAGGCUGCUAGAACCAUGCUUAGUGAAUGUAAUUUACCAAAGUAUUUUUUAGGUUGAAGCUAUAAACACAGCCUGCUAUACCAUGAACAGAGUACUUUUAAGACCAAUUUUGAACAAAACUUCCUAUGAGCUGUUGUUUGAUAAAAAGCCUGUUGUUGGAUAUUUUAGGGUCUUUGGUUGCAAAUGCUUCAUUCUAAACAUCAAGGAACAUUUUGAAAAGUUUGAUAAAAAAUCUGAUGAGGGAAUUUUCUUGGGAUAUUGUGAGAAUAAGAGAGGUUUUAGAGUCUAUAAUCGUAGGACUCUGGUUAUAGAGGAAGUUAUACACAUUACUUUUGAUGAAUCUAAUGGUGACAUUUCCAUGAGUUGUGGUGAAGAUGAUGAUGCAGGUGUUUAAGAAGAACUAAAGAAGCUAACAAUCAGUGACCAAGGCACUGCUUCACCAGAAAAUGAUUCAAAGGAAGAUGAAACUCAAGACAGUCCAGCUAGGGAAAACAACGACAGAGACACUACCACUCCUAAUGAUCUUCCAAGAGCCUGAAAAUUUGUCCAAAACCAUCCUAAGGAAUUCAUCAUUGGUGAUCCAUCCGAAAAGGUCAGAACACGUUCCUCCUCUAGACAACUAAUAGAUAAUUUUGCAUUGGUCUCACACUUUGAACCCAAAAAUGUUGUUGAUGCAUUAAAAGAAGGGAACUGGAUUUUAGCUAUGGAAGAGGAGUUAAAUCAAUUUGAAAGAAACAAGGUUUGGACAUUAGUUGUUAGACCUCAAGAUCAUCCUACCAUUAGCACCAAGUGAGUUUUUUGAAACAAAAUGAAUGACAAAGGUGAGGUAGUAAGAAAUAAGGCCAGACUGGUAGCUAAGGGAUACACUCAAGAAAAAGGAAUAGAUUUUGAUCAAUCAUUUGCACCCGUAGUUAGGCUAGAAUCAAUUAGAAUGUUUUUGGCCUUCGCAUGUUUCAAGAACUUUAAAUUAUUUCAAAUGGAUGUUAAAAGUGUCUUCUUAAAUGGAUUUAUUGAUCAAGAAGUUUAUGUUGAUCAACCUCCUGGUUUUGAAAAUGAAAUUUAUCCAAAUCAUUUUUUAAAUUCUCAAAAGCCUUGUAUGGAUUAAAACAAGUUCCAAGAGUAUGGUAUGAAUGUUUGAGUGGUUUUUUGAUUGAAAAUGGUUUUAAAAGAGGCAUUGUGGAUACUACUCUUUUCACUAAACAAAGUUCACGUGAUCUUUUAAUCGUGCAAAUAUAUGUGGAUGAUAUCAUAUUUGGUGCUACUAAUGAGAGCUUGUGCAAGGAUUUUUCCAAUAUCAUGCAAAAAGAGUUUGAAAUGAGCAUGAUGGGAGAAUUAAAUUUCUUCCUUGGACUCCAAGUGGUUCAAACCUGAGAUGGAACAUUCAUCAAUCAAACCAAAUACACAAAGGAGCUGCUAAAAAGAUUUGGAAUGGAGGAUUCAAAGCAAGUUGGAACACCUAUGUGCACAUCUACCAAGCUUGACAAGGAUGAAGAAGGUACAAAAGUUGAUGAAAAGAAGUAUAGAGGUAUGAUUGGUAGUUUGCAUUACUUAACUGCUAGUAGACCUGAUAUUAUGUUUGAUGUGUGCCUAUGUGCUCGUUUUCAGUCUUGUCCAAAGGAAUCACAUUUGAAUGCGGUAAAAAGAAUCCUUAGAUAUCUAAAAGGAACCUUGAAUUUUGGCCUUUGGUAUCCUAAGUGUCAUGAACUUCCUCUGUGUGGAUUCUCUGAUGCUGACUUUUGGUGGCUGUAGGGUAGAUAGAAAAAGUACAACAGGUAUAUGUAACUUUCUUGAAAAUUGCUUAGUGUCUUGGUUUAGCAAAAAAUAAAAUGCUAUUUCAUUGUCUACAACUGAAGCUGAAUAUGUUGGUGCUGGUGCUUGUUGUGCUCAAUUGUUGUGGAUGAAAAACACAUUGAAUGAUUUUGGUUUAGUGUAUGAUUGUGUGCCUAUGUAUUGUGAUAACACUAGUGCCAUCAAUUUGACAAAAAAUCCCAUUCAACAUUAUAGGACUAAGCACAUAGACAUAAAGCAUCAUUUCAUUCACGAUCUUGUCCACAAGGGUACAAUUUGUGUUCAAUAUGUUUGUUCUAAAGAUCAAAUUGUUUAUAUCCUCACAAAAGCCCUCCCACUGGAUCAAUUUGUGUAUCUGAGAACAAAACUGGGUGUUUCAGAAAAAAUAUUCUAAGAUUUUUUUCUGGUCAUUCUUUAUCGGACGUCCAAUAGGUUAGAACGGACGUCUGACAGUGUUCUUCAUUCCUGUUCCAGAAAAAUUUUGGUCCGGACGGUUGUGUCGGACGCUUCAUUUCGUUCGGCCGUCCGACACUCAAAAAUUGCGUCUUAUAAAGAAAUUCUCUGCGUCAUUCAGUUCAUUCUUACCAUUUAUCUCGGACGUAACUAUUCACAUUCUCUCAAAGUUUAAAAUUCAAAUUCGUCUCUCACUGGAACAAGUACCAAGAAAUCACUCUGACCAACACCUUCUCACACCUAUUGCGAGUUUAUUGCACUUCGUAACUUCCCCCAACCGCCAACUACACUAUAAAUUCCAAUUACAACCCAAAAUCCGAAAUCACAAAAACUCACUCUCUGUGGACCAUCUGUGCAUCCAUUGUAGUUCAUACUGAACGUUUCACCGUUUAAUACUCAUUUGCAUCACAUCACACAACAAAAACUCCACUGCACUUCAAUCAUGGUGAGGAUUAGAGGGGGAUCCGUGAGUGCCGGACACACUUUCAGACUGUGUGACGAAGAGGAUGAAGAUGUUCAAGUUAUUGAACCCUCCAUCAAAUCAUCCAAGAAGAAAACUGGAAACCGAGGUGGAAAAACAAAACAAUCUGCAAGAAAAAAACAGAAUGUGCAGACUAGAGAACCAUCUGCUGAACCAUCUGAUGAGCAGAUGGAGGAACAGCAAUCUGAAGGGCAUCCAGUGAGUGACAAUGAAGAGGAACCAGUGCAGUCCACCAAUGCAGAUGUAACAGUAACCAAAUCACCCAGGAAAGGAAAAAGGACUGCCAAAAGAAAGAGCAUUGCUCAACCCAAGGAAAAGCAAAAUGUUGAUCCUUCUGGGGAUCAGCAGAAUGCAGAAGAAAUUGCUGAGGAACCAUCUACCAGGAGAUCACCAAGGACAAGGUCUGGUGUCCAGAGUGCUGCGCAACCUGCUCAGCGCAGUGGAAAAAGAAAGCGUCCUGAGCAGCCUGAGACCCAAACUGCUACUGAACCCACUUCUCUACCCAAGGUCAUCGACAAUGAAGCCAGAGAAUGGUUUGAAUGGAUCUCGCAGAAGGGCUUCAUCACCCAGAGGACCUGUGAGGACCCGAAUUUUUCUUAUUUUUAUUUUAGUUUACUGGCUUAAUUAAUUAUUUACGCACCCGUUUUCUCCGAAUAUUUUAUUCCAACCUUUUUAGACCCAAAUACAUGAAAUUAUGGCUUACAUGUAGUUUUAAAAUGACUUGUUACAAAAUUUAAUUUUUGAAAGGUCGUUUAGUGAGAAUAGUGAAUGCGCGUUUGGAGGUAAUAAUCGAUUCGAGGGUGCAAUGAGCUUGGAAAAUUGGAGACUUGUACAUUAGUCUUGAAAUAGGUAUUUUUAUGUUUAAGUGCUCAAUUAUUAGUUAGUUAUACUAUCGUUAUAAGACAUUCUAAGAAAUUUCACUUUAUCACGUAAAAAUCGUAAGUACGCGUUUUUACACGCGCAAUUAAUGGGGGGGCUUAAAACCUUUAUUUUGGGACUAUUAAGAGUGAAUAAUAAUAAUAUGAAUGAAAGUGCAAUAGAGUUUUAGUACACAAGUGAAAUAAACUCGAGAGGAAUCGAGCACGAAACGCGCCCGUACGCGCGGGAGAGAGAGUUGACUUUUAAACCAAUUUAGAGCCACACAUUUUAGCUUCUCUUGGAAGCUUCAUUUGUAGUCAAAACCUCUCUCUCUCUCUCUCAUUCCAUCCGGCCACAAGGAGAAGAAAAACAACCAAAGCUCUUCAAUUUUCUUCUUCAUUUUGUCACUAAAUCUUCACCAAAUCACCUCAAACUUCAAUCACACUUUACUAAGCACUUGGUGAUCAUCAUAAGCUACAAAAGAUCUUGCUUUCCACGGUUUUUCUUGGGCUAAGGAGGACCGAAAAUUCUGCCUUGAAACAUCUAGCAAAGUAAGUGACGAUCAAACCUUCAAAUCUUGAUUUAUGGAAGUAAUAUAGCACUUAUAAGUUCAUAUCUUCUUGUGGGUAGCUUUAUUGAUGUUGGAAAGUUGUUGUGUGGGCUCUAUGAACUCCCACUAUGGCUUGAUGGACUGAUUUGUGGUGUUUUAACGUUAUUAAUGUUGGUUUAGUGCUUAAAUUAGUAGAAAUGAGUGAUAUUAUGGAUGAAAGCUCAAAGGGAGUGAAGAUGGAAAACUUUCCGUUUCUGCCUCUGUGAAUGUCCGUGACCCUUAGAGCAAAAUUUUAUAGUUCUAUUGACUUGUUUAUGAUGUAUACAUGUUGUGUGGGUGGUAUAGAAAGUUUCAUCAAAAAAUUUCAUGAUUUGGUUGGCCAAAUGAUGUGUUUUCGGAAGUCAGCAAAAACUGGAAAUUUUCCCGUAACUGCUCUGGCAGUGUUUUUGUUUUGGAUAUAACUUUUUACUUGGACUUUGAAAUCGAGUUAUGUUUGAGGCACUAGAAACUAGACAUUCCCAGCUUUCCAAGGGUAUAAAAUAAAAAUUCUGAUUCCACCUGAGUAGUCCAUACCAAUCGUUUGAACAUGACUGUCCUGUUUCGCGUCUACACUGGGAGCUCUGUUUUGAGCAGCGAAUGGAUGCUCAAAUAUGAGCCAGCUGUGGACAGAUUUUGAAAAUGAUUUCUUCUAAGAAAUUGUAGCUUUAUGAAUCUAUUUUUGAACGCCACUAACCACACUCCAUUCCAAGUUGAAUUGAGUGAUUUGUGGCCAAAAUCCGAAACUGACUCAAUGAUUUGAAACCCUCUUUUGGCAAGUAAAUGUCUAAAUCUUGAUUGGGACUUGUUGUUUCGAAAUUCUUAGUGUUCAUUACCUACAAAAUGUAUCUUGGAUGUUUCCUAGACCUUUGUUUUAUAAGUGAACCAGAUUUGAAUCGUUUUCAUUGAGCAAAAUGUUUGAAAGAGAAGAAGAAAGCAAAAGACAGAUUGGUCUUGAGAUUUUCUUGAACUUUGGUAGUUUAGUAAACUACCUUUCCGUGUGAAUUUUAAAGUGACAUUUGAUAGAGGAGUAGUCCUCAUAUGGAAGUAGAAUUGUACCAAUUUUAGUGUCCAUCAAAAACCAUUUCGAUAUACAAAUGAUGUGCCAAAGUUUUCUAUUCAAAUCUGGAAAACUCUUCCUUUCUCUCGGCCGAAUGGUCCAACUUGUUUGGAAUGUUUUGUUUCAAAAACUUUGAUGUCAAUUGCCUCUAAAUUGCUCAUUGGAUGUUUAUAGAACAUUGGUUUCAACAUUUGAGUUAAUUAAGGUUGAUUUGUGUGAGACAAAACUUUUAAAAGGAAAGAGAAACUUGAGUUGGCAGAAUUGCUUUGAAAAUUUCACAAACUUCAGUAGUUUUGUUAACUGCCUUUCCACGUGAAUUUUUGCGUGAAAUUUGGUAGAGAUAUAUUUCACAUAUGGAAGAUUUACUGUACCAAAUUUGGUGUAUUUUCAAUGCCAACUCAAUGACCAAAUAAUGCCCCAAAUUUGCUCUUCAAAUCUGGAAAAUUGGCCAACAGUCUUCAGUUUUAACCAACUUUGAGCUACUAUAUCUUGACGCUCAAAACUCCGAUUUUAGUUCUGUUUAUUGUGUUUUAAACUUUGAUUGUAACUCUAAUUGAGUUCCAAAUUUUAGAGGCUAGUUCACAUUCUAUGAAUUUUGCCAGAUUUUCAAAUUUGGCCAAAAACCAACCCCAAAACUGUCUUAAUGACUCAAAACAGCAACUUUGAGCCAAAUUUUGAAUGUCUUCCGUUUGGAAUCAUGGAAAUGUGUCUUCUAGGAACUUUUAGUACUUUGGAAUUAGUUUCCAACGGUACCAAGUUUUCCAAUUUUAGACCUACGGAGUGCAAGAUAUGAUUUUUCUAAAUUUGACAUACAAAACUGAAAUUUGCCAAUUUCUCAGAAAAUGAAAUUUUGGAAACUUGACUUCUUUUCUCGAUAUCGACUGAAUGUUUUGAAAUCGAUUUCAUGGAAAUACUAGUCUCUCUCUUUGGACUUUAAAACUUCACUCGUGAACCUCAAGUUAAGGGAAUUGAAGCUCUCUUUUAGGACUUUGAUUUAGUCUAGAUGAGUGUACAUCCCUUAUUGGUAAAUGCAUGAUUGUGAGCGAAGUUGAUUAUUGUUUGCUCAGGCGCUCAAGGGGACCUUCAAGAGGAACUCGGAGCGGACGUCUAAACACUUGUUUGAGCACUUACUCACUUGUUUUGACUAGGUGAGUGUUCCAUAUAGGAGUACGUAAUUUGAAUAAGUCUAUGACAUUCUUAUUCCAUGAUCAUUAAGUGUUAAGUGCUAUAUGUUAAGUAUUUACCACACUCAUGCAUAUUUAAGUAAGGUAUACUUGAAUUACUCGACAUGAAAUACUUGAAUUGCAUAUUUACGUGAAGUGUUUAAAUGAUUAAUUAUGCUAUGGCUGCAUAAGUCGGCUGGAGGGAAUCUCCUCGACUCUUAAGUGGUAAAAGUGGGAAAUGGCCAAUGGCGACCUAUUAAAAUGGCAAAUAUCUGCCAAUUAACCGUAAUUGCUUACCGUUAACCGUUAACCAUAAUUACUUACCGUUUACCAACCUACUUGAUUACCUACCUACGUGAUUACCUGUUUACUUGAUUACCUGACUACUUGAUUACCUGUUUACUUGAUUAUCGUAAAUUACAUGUCCAUAUGAAAUUACCGCAUAUUGCUUACGUGUUUACGUGUUAAAUGUUAUUGAUAAUUUUUCAUAUGAAAUUGUCCACCAUUUUAAGGCGAGUGUGUACUUUAUCUCACUCGACCUACUAAAAUGACAGAUUUUUACCAUUAAUCGAGAACUAUUACCAUUUACCGUUUACCGUUUUACUUGAUUACUUGUGCAUGUUGUAAUCUCUAAGCUGAACUGGGCCCUGCCUUUGGUUACUGACCUACUCGAGCCAGGACUGGGCUCGAUCGGGUAGGUUGGAACCUUGGGACACCGUUUCGGUAUACUCGAGUACUACCACUGGAGGGAUAAGGUGAUGGCCAGACAAACCGAGGGGUUCUGAAGUUGUAAGGUGCAGUUGACCGAAAUGGUUCCACUGGAACACCGUAUCCUUCAAUGUGUGUUUAUUUUGCAUAAUGAUAACUGUUUCAUGCUAAUGUACCAACGUGCAACCCAUGAGCCAUACCUGUGAUAUGCUCAAAUUACUCGUAACAUGAUAACUGUCUCAUGUUAAUGUGCCAAUGUGCAAUUGUGAACCAUAUAUGUAUCAUGCCUAACUUGUUUGAUUUAUUAGAACUGCUAGAGUGUCUUGGAACCUCACUGGGCUGUGUAGCUCAUUCCACGUUUUUGUUUUCCUUAACAGGGUUUGAGACCAAGAGUGCUCGUGAAUAGUACUAUAUUGUUUUCUUUUGAAGACUUUAAGUUGUAUUAUAGCUGAUGGCUAUAGUACAUAUUCCGUUGGAUUGUAUUUAAGCUUGAAAGCUAACUAAUUGUAAGUGUGACAUAUUUUGGAGUGCUUUAAUUAUGUAUUGAAGUUAUUUGAAGCAUUCCGAACUUUUGAAUUGUGGAUUGUAGUGAGUCCUGGCGAGAGCUGGGCAGGCGUCCCGCGGAUACCCUUUGGUUCGCCUUAGGGAGAAGUGGGGGCGUCACAGUUGGUAUCAGAGCUUAGGUUUCAGAUCUUUGUAGUGUAUUCUAGACUUAAAAGUUUAGGAUGCCGGACUGCCGGACUGGUUUGAAAGUUAAGUGUCCGCUUGUAGGGAUAAAAAUUAGAGCCGCUUCGCGUGGUCUCUACGCGGGGUGAGUUUGGGCCAAGUGGUGUUAUGGUCCUUAUUAUGUGAAUGAGUAAAGGUUUAAAUACUCUUCUAGAGCGUAAGCUGUGAAUCAUGAAUGUGAUAGGUACAAAACCUUUAUCUUGAUACUUGGAGAAAAUUAGAUAUGUAUGUUGGGUAGGAAUCUCAAAUGUGGUGGUUUACUCUUGGGACUGGCCAGCUCGAGUUGUGAAUUACCUUGUUUCGGAUUCUUGUACCCGAGUCCUUAAGAGUUGAGGGCAAUCCUAAGGACUUAAGAUCUCCAUUUGUGGGGAAUAAGAAUGAAUUGAUAUUUCACGUGAAUAGUUACAGGAACCCGAUAAUCGUUUGGCUAAGAUGGCACAAUAAUUAAGAGCGGCUGGUGGAGAAGAUUGUAACCCAGAAGAUCCAGGUGUUGGGAUUGAAGUUGAACGUGUUAGGGAAUGGGAAUCAUCUAGUUCUAAUUAAUCUCGUGAAACUUUAUUUGUGACCUUUUAUAGUGGGACGAUGGGAGUAGAACUUAAGAGUGUGUACCUUGGAGAUGAAUGUACUUUUAAUAAUCACCUGCUUACUUUUGUUUACUGACUUUGACUUGGUAUGAACUUUACUUGACUAUAACUUGUGUCAUGAUCUGAUGAAAUCUAAUUUAUGUUUGACUUGUAUGGUGAUAAUGUUAUUUGUGCAAGUGAUUUUAUUUUUCUUUAAAAGUUGUUACUGGUAUGUGUGUGUAGUUUAAUUAUGGUUUAGGGUGAAAUUUAUGCAUAUAUGAACUUGCAUGUUUAAGUAUCUUUUUUUUAAAAAAAAAGUAUUUUCUAGAGUAUACGUUUACUUAAACGCAGCUCUUAACUCAAAACUUUGAGAGAAUUUUUGAAAUACCCUCCAUGUAUAUGUUAUUUAUUAUAUAUGUGUUUUAUUAUCCACGCAUUGAGUUGCAUGAUUAAUCUUCUUAAACAUAUUUGAGGAAGUUACAAUAUGUACUGAUGAUGAUGGCAAAACACAUUAUUUGAAGUUUCUUACUAAGAAAAUUUAGUUUCGGAUCAUGAAGAAAAGUUUGCAUCUUUUCACUCUAGUUUUGAAAUUGUGAAUCGCAUUUUGCCACACACAUAUCCAAAAUACAUUAAAACCCUCAAUUAUAUCUCGUAUGUUAUGAUUGACUUGAUUUGAACAAAAUUUGAUGGGUCGUUUGGGACAAAAGAAACCAAGUCAUUUCUAAAAUUGCUAAUUUUAAAAAUCGAAUGCCAGUAAAUGGUUUUAGACAAAUUGAGUCCGAAAAUUUUGAUAAGCAUAGCUGAAAGGGCAUGAUAUAAUCUUAGGUGUGAAUUUCGAGGACGAAAUUAGUUUAAGGAGGGAAGGUUGUGAGGACCCGAAUUUUUCUUAUUUUUAUUUUAGUUUACUGGCUUAAUUAAUUAUUUACGCACCCGUUUUCUCCGAAUAUUUUAUUCCAACCUUUUUAGACCCAAAUACAUGAAAUUAUGGCUUACAUGUAUUUUUAAAAUGACUUGUUACAAAAUUUAAUUUUUGAAAGCUUGUUUGGUGAGAAUAGUGAAUGCGCGUUUGGAGGUAAUAAUCAAUUCGAGGGUGCAAUGAGCUUGGAAAAUUGGAGAGUUGCACAUUAGUCUUGAAAUAGGUAUUUUUACGUUUAAGUGCUCAAUUAUUAGUUAGUUAUACUAUCGUUAUAAGAAAUUCUUAGAAAUUUCACUUUAUCGCGUAAAAAUCGUAAGUACGCGUUUUUACACGCACAAUUAAUGGAGGGGCUUAAAACCAUUAUUUUGGGACUAUUAAGAGUGAAUAAUAAUAAUAUGAAUGAAAGUGCAUUAGAGGUUUAGUGCACAAGUGAAAUAAACUCGAGAGGAAUCGAGCACGAAACGCGUCCGUACGCGCGAGAGAGAGAGUUGACUUUUGAACCAAUUUAGAGCCACACAUUUUAGCUUCUCUUGGAAGCUUCAUUUGCAUCCAAAACCUCUCUCUCUCUCUCUCAUUCCAGCCGGCCACAAGGAGAAGAAAAACAACCAAAGCUCUUCAAUUUUCUUCUUCAUUUCAUCACUAAAUCUUCACCAAAUCACCUCAAACUUCAACCACACUUUACUAAGCACUUGGUGAUCAUCAUAAGCUACAAAAGAGCUUGCUUUCCACGGCUUUUCUUGGGCUAAGGAGGACCGAAAAUUCUGCCUUGAAACAUCUAGCAAAGUAAGUGACGAUCAAACCUUCAAAUCUUGAUUUAUGGAAGUAAUAUAGCACUUAUAAGUUCAUAUCUUCUUGUGGGUAGCUUUAUUGAUGUUGGAAAGUUGUUGUGUGGGCUCUAUGAACUCCCACUAUGGCUUGAUGGACUGAUUUGUGGUGUUUUAAUGUUAUUAAUGUUGGUUUAGUGCUUAAAUUAGUAGAAAUGAGUGAUAUUAUGGAUGAAAACUCAAAGGGAGUGAAGAUGGAAAAAUUUCCGUUUCUGCCCCUGUGAAUGUCCGUGACCCUUAGAGCAAACUUUUAUAGUUCUAUUGACUUGUUUAUGAUGUAUACAUGUUGUGUGGGUGGUCUAGAAAGUUUCAUCAAAAAAUUUCAUGAUUUGGUUGGCCAAAUGAUGUCUUUUCGGAAGUCAACAAAAACUGGAAAUUUUCCCAUAACUGCUCUGGCAGUGUUUUUUUUUUUGGAUAUAACUUUUUUCUCCGACAUCCAAAUCAAGUGCCAUUUACGGCACUGGAAACUAGACAUUCCCAGCUUUCCAAGGGUAUAAAAUAAACAUUCUGAUUCCACCUGAGUAGUCCAUACCAAUCGUUUGAACAUGACUGUCCUGUUUCACAUCUACACUGGGAGCUCUGUUUUGAGCAGCGAAUUGAUGCUCAAAUAUGAGCUAGCUGUGGACAGAUUUUGAAAGUGAUUUCUUUUAAGAAAUUGAAGCUUUAUAAAUCUAGUUUUGAACGCCAUUGGACACGCUGGAUUCCAAGUUGAAUUGAGUGAGUUGUGGCCGAAAUCCGAAACGGACUCAAUGAUUUGAAACCCUCUUUUGGCUAGUAAAUGUCUAAAUCUUGAUUGGGACUUGUUGUUUCGAAAUUCUUAGUGUUCAUCACCUACAAAAUGUAUCUUGGAUGUUUCCUAGACCUUUGUUUUAUAAGUGAACCAGAUUUGAAUCGUUUUUAUUGAGCAAAAUGUUUGAAAGAGAAGAAGAAAGCAAAAGACAGAUUGGUCUUGAGAUUUUCUUGAACUUUGGUAGUUUAGUAAACUACCUUUCCGUGUGAAUUUUAAAGUGAAAUUUGAUAGAGGAGUAGUCCUCAUAUGGAAGUAGAAUUUUACCAAUUUUAGUGUCCAUCAAAAACCAUUUCGAUAUACAAAUGAUGUGCCAAAGUUUUCUAUUCAAAUCUGGAAAACUCUUCCUUUCUCUCGGCCGAAUGGUCCAACUUGUUUGGAAUGUUUUGUUUCAAAAACUUUGAUGUCAAUUGCCUCUAAAUUGCUCAUUGGAUGUUUAUAGAACAUUGGUUUCAACAUUUGAGUUAAUUAAGGUUGAUUUGUGUGAGACAAAACUUUUAAAAGGAAAGAGAAACUUGAGUUGGCAGAAUUGCUUUGAAAAUUUCACAAACUUCAGUAGUUUUGUUAACUGCCUUUCCACGUGAAUUUUUGCGUGAAAUUUGGUAGAGAUAUAUUUCACAUAUGGAAGAUUUACUGUACCAAAUUUGGUGUAUUUUCAAUGCCAACUCAAUGACCAAAUAAUGCCCCAAAUUUGCUCUUCAAAUCUGGAAAAUUGGCCAACAGUCUUCAGUUUUAACCAACUUUGAGCUACUAUAUCUUGACGCUCAAAACUCCGAUUUUAGUUCUGUUUAUUGUGUUUUAAACUUUGAUUGUAACUCUAAUUGAGUUCCAAAUUUUAGAGGCUAGUUCACAUUCUAUGAAUUUUGCCAGAUUUUCAAAUUUGGCCAAAAACCAACCCCAAAACUGUCUUAAUGACUCAAAACAGCAACUUUGAGCCAAAUUUUGAAUGUCUUCCGUUUGGAAUCAUGGAAAUGUGUCUUCUAGGAACUUUUAGUACUUUGGAAUUAGUUUCCAACGGUACCAAGUUUUCCAAUUUUAGACCUACGGAGUGCAAGAUAUGAUUUUUCUAAAUUUGACAUACAAAACUGAAAUUUGCCAAUUUCUCAGAAAAUGAAAUUUUGGAAACUUGACUUCUUUUCUCGAUAUCGACUGAAUGUUUUGAAAUCGAUUUCAUGGAAAUACUAGUCUCUCUCUUUGGACUUUAAAACUUCACUCGUGAACCUCAAGUUAAGGGAAUUGAAGCUCUCUUUUAGGACUUUGAUUUAGUCUAGAUGAGUGUACAUCCCUUAUUGGUAAAUGCAUGAUUGUGAGCGAAGUUGAUUAUUGUUUGCUCAGGCGCUCAAGGGGACCUUCAAGAGGAACUCGGAGCGGACGCCUAAACACUUGUUUGAGCACUCACUCACUUGUUUUGACUAGGUGAGUGUUCCAUAUAGGAGUACGUAAUUUGAAUAAGCCUAUGACAUGCUUAUUCCAUGAUCAUUAAGUGUUAAGUGCUACAUGUUAAGUAUUUACCACACUCAUGCAUAUUUAAGUAAGGUAUACUUGAAUUACUCGACAUGAAAUACUUGAAUUGCAUAUUUACGUGAAGUGUUUAAAUGAUUAAUUAUGCUAUGGCUGCAUAAGUCGGCUGGAGGGAAUCUCCUCGACUCUUAAGUGGUAAAAGUGGAAAAUGGCCAAUGGCGGCCUAUUAAAAUGGCAAAUAUCUGCCAAUUAACUGUAAUUAUUUACCGUUUACCAACCUACUUGAUUACCUACCUACGUGAUUACCUGACUACUUGAUUACCUGUUUACUUGAUUACCGUAAAUUAUAUGUCCAUAUGAAAUUACCGCAUAUUGCUUACGUGUUUGCGUGUUAAAUGUUACUGAUAAUUACUCAUAUGAAAUUGUCCACCAUUUUAAGGCGAGUGUGUACUUUAUCUCACUCGACCUACUAAAAUGACAGAUUUUUACCGUUAAUCGAGAACUAUUACGGUUUACCGUUUGCCGUUUUACUUGAUUACUUGUGCAUGUUGUAAGCUCUAAACUGAACUGGGCCCUGCCCUUGGUUACUGACCUACUCGAGCCAGGACUGGGUUCGAUCAGGUAGGUUGGAACUCUGGGACACCGUUUCGGUAUACUCGAGUACUACCACUGGAGAGAUAAGGUGAUAGCCAGACAAAUCGAGGGGUUCUGAAGUUAUAAGGUGCAGUUGACCGAAAUGGUUCCACUGGGACACCGUAUCCUUCAAUGUGUGUUUAUUUUGCAUAAUGAUAACUGUUUAUGCUAAUGUACCAACAUGCAACCCAUGAGCCAUACCUGUGAUAUGCUCAAAUUACUCGUAACAUGAUAACUGUCUCAUGUUAAUGUGCCAAUGUGCAAUCGUGAACCAUAUAUGUAUCAUGCCUAACUUGUUUGAUUUAUUAGAAUUGCUAGAGUGUCUUGGAACCUCACUGGGCUGUGUAGCUCAUUCCACGUUUUUGUUUUCCUUAACAGGGUUCGAGACCAAGAGUGCUCGUGAAUAGUACUAGAUUGUUUUCUUUUGAAAACUUUAAGUUGUAUUAUAGCUAAUGGCUAUAGUACAUAUUCCGUUGGAUUGUAUUUAAGUUUGAAAGCUAACUAAUUGUAAGUGUGAGAUAUUUUGGAGUACUUUAAUUAUGUAUUGAAGUUAUUCGAAGCAUUCCAAACUUUUGAAUUGUGGAUUGUAGUGAGUCCUGGCGAAAGUUGGGCAGGCGUCCCGCGGAUACCCUUUGGUUCACCUUAGGGAGAAGUGGGGGCGUCACAGGACCAUUAUCUCCUACGAAUUCCGUAAAUUUGAUCUUGAACUUGUUCUCAACCUGUUUGAAUUCCAAAAAUGGACCCAUCUUUUAACCAUUCCAAACACAUACUAUCCUGACAUGCUCCAUCAGUUUUUUGCUAAUCUUAGGAAAGGCAGAUCACAUACUGAUCUCAUUUCUCGUGUCAACUCUGUUAACAUUGAACUGAAUCCUGACAUUGUUAACACUGUUUUGGAAACCAAAAUUAAAAGUGGUUUUAAAGGCAAAAUUGUAAACUUCUUUUCAUACGAAGAAUUUUCCUCUGCAUACCAUCACUUUCAUGUUGCAAAAUUAAUGACCUACUUUCAAUCUCAUUUUAAUACUCUUGCUGAGGCUAGAUUGGAGGAUCUUAGCCCUCAGAAUCUGAUUAUUUUCACCAUAAUUUCAAACUUGUUGGUGCCCACUGAUGGCCACCGAACUGAUGCAAAUAAAAUGAAACUUUACUUGUUCUACUGUUUUCUGGAAAAAAUCCGAAUUGAUUUUGGUUUUGUCAUGUGUAAGUUUCUGCUCAAGAUAAGUUCUGACAGCCGUAGGAAACUGUCCUAUGGAAAAUUUCUGACUCCUAUUUUCAAUCAUUUUGAAAUUCCUUUUACUGGCAAAUCCCCAAAAGAGAGUGCAUCAACUGUGUUUUCAAAGGCUUACUUUGAAAGGAAAAAUUUGAAAUUUUUUGAGGGUCACUGGUGCUACAAAAAAACUGUCUCUGAGUCUAGGAGGAAAAAUCUUCAUGAAACCCCUGUCACCCCUAGGACUCCUCGUGACCAGUCAAUGUAUGUGACACCCUUCACCAUUCAUCCCAGAAAAUCAGCCUCUAAAUUUCCUUCAUCCAACCUUGAGGUCAUCACUCUGCUUGAGGACCUCAAAUAACAUAUCCUGCUUCUAGAAGAUGGCUUGAUGAUGACCAUGACUUCUGAUCAACAAGCCACCUUCGUUGCCAAAAGGAAUCUGCUCGUACCUCCCAUUCCUCCAGAAAAUGAAAAUACACACCGAAAGGAGCUUAGAACUGAGCCAACCACUGAGGCUACCCCAGAGUACCAUGCCUCCAGUUCUCAACCACAGGACAAGGGAAAAUGUGAGACCCCGUAAUUUUCUAAUUUUCUGGGUUUUAUUCUAUUUAAUGGCAUAUUUUCUGCAUUUUCUUUAUUAGGAAAAUUUCUUGAUAAUUUUUAUGAGCAAAUAGGGUUUUUAAGUUAUUUUCUAGUAUCAGUUAGUUUUUGAGAAAUUAAGAGCGUAUAUCGGACGUGGGACCCGCUAGUGCGGAAAGUUCGGUAAAAUUCGGCCAAUUAGGUUAAGUUGUGUAUACUGGAUUUAAUUUAGCAGGUACUAAGAGAUAAUUAGAGGUUACCUUAAGUGGAUUAUUGUUGGAGAGACAAAAGGAUAACCAUGAACAAAAAGGGUGCUAGGUGGCACUUUUCUAUUGGUCAUGGACUUUGACCAUUUAACUUUACCUUUACCAUAUAACAAAAUUGACCCAAAAUCUCUUCUUAUUUCUUUCUUGUUGGCCGACCUUCUCACAAGGAGAAAAGAAAAGAAACUCUCCACAAUCUUACCUCUAAUCUUGCCCAAUCUCUCAAUUAAACCGUUUAAUCUUCAAAUUACUCCAUAAAACCUCUUAGUUUAGUGAAGUUAAGCUUCGUUGUGAAGUGGUUUGGAAGGCUAAGGUACCAAGUUGCUUCUUUUCUUGGGUUUGCAAGGUAAGUGACCAAGGAACCUUUCCUUUAAUCUUGUUAAUGUUCAAUUGAUGGCUUAUGUGAGUUAAAUAGAUGGUUUUAGGUGUUAUUUUGUGACUUUUGGUUGAAUUGGUGAAGUUUUAUAAUUAUUGGUGUUUUGUCUGUUUUCAUAUGAUUAUUAUUAUGGGGUCAUGUAUGAUGAUUGGAAAUGAUAUUUAAGGAAGCUAGAAGGUGGAAAAAGUGGUUAAUUGCAGGAAAUUUCUGUUUUGGAAGAAAUUUGGAAAGUUAGGGUUUCAUGUUCUUACAUUCUGCCUGGCACUGUAGCUCAUAGUUAGAGGCUGAAUUAGCCUUGAGUUAAAACAUGAAAGUUGUAGGGAAUGAUAUUUUAGAGAUUUCUACAAAAUUUCAGGUCAAUCGGAGCAACGUAGCUUGUGAAAAGACUGAAAUACCCCUGCUGCCCUGUUUCUACCCGAACUUGAGAAUUGCUUCUGCGAUUGGCUAAUUUGAUUGGGAAUGCUUCUGAUUUGGUUGUUGAUGUCUUCUUCAGAAUUGUAGCCUUGUAUCUUAGCUUUCGUAUGGCUUUAGAAUCACUUGAUUUGGACUUAGGUAGCCUGACUUAUGAUGUUUGAACCAGAAUGCGGUUGGUGAACCUGUUUUUGCGGUUCUGGUUUAGUAUAUUGAAUUUUUGACCUGGUUGCACUAGAAAAUGGACUGAGUAGCCUUCUUCAACAUUGUAUCCCUAUCUCUUAGCUUUGAAACGGUGUAUCUUGAACCUCCAUCCGAUAAUCGUAGUGCCAAUGGUGCCAAAACCGCAAAAUGAUGUCAAAAACUAUUUUUAUGGUUUAGAGCUUAACUUUCAUUUCCGGACUUUUCCCUAUCUUGAAUUGUACUCGUACUACUUGGAGCUUACUGAACGGCUAUUGAAUGAACUUAUUUGCGUGACUUUGGGACUGGCUGAGGAAAAUAAUGAAGCCAUAAAUGGCCGGAAAUAGGAAAAAUACAAAGGGCGUGCUGCCCAAAUUUUCGCUCAAGGGCUAAGCUUCUAUUUGAACUUGUAUAUUUUCGUUUGGCAAAUACUAUGCCCGUUUUCCAUCUUAAAACAUGAUACCUUUUCCAUUUGAACCUUCAAAUGUUUAUUUACUACUUCAUACCAAAAUAUCGAGGUAUGACCUAAGGUUUUCUCAGUCAAGACAUGUAGGCCAUAAUACCUACUUGAAUGUAUAUUGAUUUUGAACCACACAAACGCUUCCGAAAAAUAAUAUUUCUGAGCCUAUCUGGUUGGAUUCCGACUUGACUUUGAUUCAAGUGUUUUCCAUUGGAACUGUUAUAACCCUUUGAGUUUGGUUUAUGACACCCUAGUUGUUUCCGUCCACAGAUCCAAAUGGCUUUAUUUUCACUUUAUCCGUUUUACUCGUAACUAGUCGAGUUCCUUGAUUCCACUUACUUGUUUUACUAGAUGAAUUGUAAUAUUCUUUCCCGUUGAAUCAUAGGUUUUCUCGGUGACCGAGGGUAAGAUCCGAUAGGACAUUUUGGACGUUAUUUUGCAUAAUUCGGUGAGUGUUCCUUGUUUGUUAUAUUCUCCUUGACUUCAUGACUUGUUGUUAUUGUUUGAUAAUGUGUUAAGUGUUUUCAAUGAUUUCCAAAACGAGUUUUCUAGGCGGGUGUGUACUUUAUCGCACCCGACCUAAUAAAUGUGAAAUUUUCAAAGAUUGAAUGAUUGGAACGUACUUGUGCAUGAAUGUAAGCCUUUUUGGCUGAACUGGGCCCUGCCCUUUGUUACCGAUCGACUCGAGCCAGAAGCGGACUCGGUCGGGCGAUUUGGUGACCUGGGUAAACGUUUAGUAUACUCGAGUAUUACCUUGUAGGUUGGUGGAGGUUGGUGGAGCCUGGCCAAUGUCCAGGAAAGGGCGAAUGAAAUGAACGAAUGAACGAACGAACGAGGGUUUUAUGUAUAAACGAAAAAUGCAUUUUCAAAUGAAUGAAGGAAAGGGGAAUGACAGGAAAAUGACCGAACGAACGAAUGAACGAACGAACGUAUCCUUUUCAUGUAUGGUUUAUUGUAAAUGUUGUAACUGUUUCUUGACUUAUCGUUUGAUUUAUGACUUGAUUCUAUGUUCGGAACCUCACUGAGCUUUUAGCUCAUCCCUUUAGUUUCGUUUUCCUUAACAGGGGAAGGCGAGCAAGGACGAGAGCUCUGUAUAGACUGGCUGGGUCUAGUUUUGGUUUUUUUUGGUUCUCGCCCUAGUGCUUGGCACGGGCUGGUUGUAUGGUGACUUGAGAACUUUUGUAUUCUCGACGGUUGUACUUCUUUCUGAGAUAGCAAUGUAUAUAAGUUGUGUUUUAUGUUUUAAAUCCUCGUUUUGCGAUUUCUUGUGGUUCUAUUUCUGAUUUGUGUGAGUGAACGACUGAGUUCCGGCGAGAGCUGGGCAGGCGGUCCGCUGAACCCUCUGGUUCGCCUAAGGGGGAAGUGGGGCUGUCAUAGAAAAGCUCCUGCAACUGAAGAAGAAACUGAAGAGGAGGAUGAUGAUGAUGAGGAUGAGGACACUGAGGAAGAAGACCCUGCUCAGUUUCGUCUGGCUAGAAGAAGGCUUGGAUCCUCCAAGAUCACAUUUUAGGCACCCCUAAGCAUAUGCACCUCAUGGUAGUUCAUAAUAGGCUCUUGGCAUUCCUUGCAUUUCAAACUUUAUGUGUUUUGUAUUAAGACUUCUACUUUCCCUUUCACUGCUGGUCUGUAAGAAUAUUUGGAUAUUUUGUGUGCUUUGAACUCAUGAUUUGUUAUUCUUAUGGUUUUGGAUGAAUGUCUGACACUGUUUGUUGCUAGACAAUAUUAUUGGUAAUAUGGCCAUGGUUGAUUUAAUGAUGACAAAAAGAGGGAGAAAUGGAUUGGACAAGAAUUCUCUAUGUGAGGGAGAGUCAUCCUUUUCUGAGUAAACAUGGGUGAACAUUAUUCUGAAGGGAAGUUGUACUUAAAUUUUGUACUUAAGCAAAGAGGGGAGAUGCAUUGUCGCACCCCGUUUUUCGCGAUGGAAAAAUAAGUAUAAAAAUAGGUAUUUACAAAAGAUGUGAUUUUAUUUUAAAAUAAAUGAAAAGGACCUAGAAUGGGACUUAAAAAAAUGCGACAAUUUGGGUCCAAAAUUUAGUCUAAAGGGUUUUUAAGAAAAAAAAUAGGAGUCGCCACUUGGUAUUGAGUUUUGGUGUACCAAGUCACCCAAAAAUAUUUUUUUGACAAAAAAAAAAUAAAAUAAAACCCCUUUUUGACAACUCCAGGUCUUUGAAAAACAAAAGAGAAUGGGUUCGGGAGUCACGGUUGAAGAAAGGGAAGGCAAAGGUUCGAUUAACUCAAACCUAAGGCACCCUUUCAACCUAGUCUAAGCUAGUUGCGAGGUUUAGUCAAAAUUUUCCUAAUCUAACCCUUAAUUUUAUCAUGUUUGGAUGUUUCCUACAUGGAUGCAAAUCUAAAUAUCGAAAGGGACAAAAUGUUCAUUCAAGAGUUUAAUUGAACCAAUCGCAUUAAUUGCGAAGGCCAAAAUAAUUCCUUGAAAGUGUCACGAGUAUGCAAAUGAUGAAAUUAAAAGAAAAGAAAAGAAAAGAAAUUAAAUUAUAUACAUAGAUAUAAGUAAUCAAAGAAAAAGGGAAUGCAACAUAAAGGGUACGGGAGGCAAAAACUCGUGACAUGAUUUUCUUAUACAGGGAUUAAUGGAAUAUUUAAACUAAAAAGUUAUAAUCUCCCAUUUCCCAUGUUUGAAAAAUAAUCUUCCUAACAUGCACAAGCAAAUGAGCUAACUUAUUAUACAAUGUCCUAAAUGAAAUGCAAUUCUAAAUGACAUGAUUAACACAUAUAGAGGAUAGGGGAUAAUAUAAUAGGAAAUAUCAUGCAAAUGGGAAAAGAUCCUAAAAAUGAAAAUAUGCGUGAAAAUGUAAUGAAUAUCACACAAAAAUGAGUCUAACGCACGAACGAUCUAAGGGUCUAGCGUUGAACUAGCCCAUUUCUAAAAAUCCUUACUAGCGUUGGACUAGCAAGUAAGCGGAGGGGAAAAGCCACAACUAGCAUUGGACUAGUGUGGUGACGUCAUGCAUUUUUAAUACAUAAUAAGACAUGUGGGCAUAAAUUAAAACAAAUAAACACAUAAGAGCACGUAGCACGUAACACAUAAGCAUAAUAUCUAGAUGCAAAAAUCCUAAGGAAAGCGGGUAAGGCACGUAACACAUAAGCCACAUAAACACACAACCUACCUAUUACAUCGGGGAGCGCCUAACUACAAUCUAAAAGGGGAAAUAAAAUAAAACAAAUCUAAUUAUCCUAUCUAUUACAUUUUUGAGGUAUUUAAAUGCCUAUCAAAUAAUUAUAAAAUUAACUAAACAAACGUAAGAAAAUUUAAAUGAACAUUCAAAUCAAAUAAACAAAGUAUAUAAAAAAUAUAUAAACACAUAGGAACACGUAGGAGUACAUAGGAGCACGUAAUUGACAUUGAAAUAAUAAUAGGGGUACCUCCCUUUGAAGUGGUGACUAAAUGGAGUCAAAUUGCCCUAUUUAUACUCACAAUGAACAAAAGAAUCAUGACACCAAUUUAAUUGAAAUAAUAAUAAUAAUAAUGAAAAUACUAAAUUCACCUUAACAUGUCAAACGUAAAUAAAUUUAAAAACAUCUAAAAAUUACAAGUUAAACAUACUCAAAAGUAACAUAAUUGGCUAUUAAAGAAAUGGGAAAAUUAUCCAAUUAGCCCUUGAACUUUUUGUCUAGGUAAAAAUAAGCCCCUCAUCUAUUUUUCGCUGACUUUAAAUGUAACAUCCCGAAUAUUAGGAGGUUGUUUGUGAAGAAAAUAUUAAAGUGUAUUUCGUUGGGUUGUUUUAAAACCUUAUUUUGGUUUAAAAGACUAGAAACCCUAAUAUUGUAGCCAAAAACCCUAGUUUACUUGUGACUAACCGGUUUUCCUAAAUCUCUCAUAUUUUAAUUGAAACCCUAAUUUUAAUUACUGAAAUUGGAAAAUUCCUCACGUUUUCUUAAAAAUUUCUUUUUAUUUGAAGAUUAUCAUUUAUUAAAGCCCUACUAUCCAAUUAUCCCAUGAUAAGUGUAAAUAAACCUAGAAAAUAAGGUUUUACGCUUUGGUUUAAAGUUUGGAGUAAAAUUAGGGUUUUCGCGAUUUUUCGCCGGAUGAAUUUUCGGUACAGAGUAAGGAUUAAAUUUGGAGAUUAAAAGUGACUUUUAAGUGAAAAAUAAUAUGUGAGUAGUAGCAGUAAAAUAAGGUUAGUGAAUGGGAAGUAAAAACCCUAGUACGUGAGUUUUUAAGAAAAACGGCGUGAACCGGCGGGUCCCGCGCACUACCGUUUGAACGCACCACUGGACCACCACUUUCUUGCACCACAAGCUUAUUGAUAUUUGAGCCAAAAUAUCUUCUUAUAUUACAGCUAAGGGGACCGAAAUUUGUGGCUUAUAAGUAAGGGGAAGAAAGAGAAAAAUUAGUGGCUAAGAAUUGUCCAAGUGUUAGCCAAAUUGUGGUCUUAAUUAACUCUAACCUUCUUACUCCUUAUAAGACAAAAAUCAGCUUCAUUUCUCUUCAUUUUCUGCUGCCAAGAGCCGAGAGAGAGAGAGAGUAAGAAUAAGAGAGGAAAAACAAAACUCUUCUCCAUUUCUUCUUCAAUCCACCAACAAAGUGAGAAAUCAAACAAAAGAAACCGAUUAAUCUUGUCUUUGAGUGGUUAGUUAGUGUUUGGUGGUGAAAGUUUGGAAAAGGAAAGCUUGGGGCUGCUUUUAGAGACUUCUAACCAAGGUAAGAGAACUCAUCUCUCUAAGUUUUGCUUUUGAUUUUGUUAAAUUAAGUUAGUAGUUUGAUUAUAGUGGUGGAAUCAUGGAUGAUUAGCAUGAUUUAGAGGUUUUCCCCAAUUUAUUUGAUGAACUAGGGGUUCUGAUUUUCUGCUCAAUGUGAUGUAUGAUGUGUAAAUGUUGUAAUUAAGGUUAUAUAAGGUUGUUUAGUGGUGAUUAGAACCAGAAAUUUGAGGAAAUUACACUUAGAGCUAAACAUUCCAGAUUUCUGGAAAAUUUCCCAAGCAUUCUGUCCGAAAUUGUAUCUAUAUGUUAGAGGCCGAUUUGGCCUUUGGUCAAAGAAGGAAAGUUGUAGAGAAUGGCAUUUUAUAGGUGCCUAUAAAAUUUCAGCUCAAUCGGAGCAACGUAGAACUUGAAAAGUCCAAAAUACCCCUACUGUUUUAAGAAUUUCCCAGCAGUCUGUUUCUUCAGUUCAGUCCAGUUUAACACGAUUUUUGACCAGGAUCCAUUCUGAUUUAGCUCUGGGCCAAAACAUAAAAGUUGUAGUGUUCUGAAGUAGCUUUAAAAUGCCUCAAAGAAAACCUGAUUCGGACUUGUGUACACUGAGUUAUGUCCAUUCCAGUGCAGUGUGGAUAAAUAGCCGACGAAUUGGAUUUCGGUUCUGUAAUUUGAGGAUUUGACUAAGUUGCAUUAGAAACUGGACUUAGUGAUAUUCAUGAAUGUUGUAGCUCUGUGUCUUAGCUUCGAAACGGCAUAGGUUGCGCCUCAAUCCGAUAAGCGUAGCCUCGGAUAUGUUAUUUCCGCAUUUGUACGUCAAAUCUGUCUUGAACUACAUUGCGUUUCUGCACUUGUACUUGAUGCGAUUCUUGUUGUUAUGAUAUUGUGAGCCUAUGGAACGGCUCUUGACAUAAAUUGCUGAUAUGUAUGUUGUUGGGCUGUUGUUGAAGAAAAAUAAUGAAGCCUAAAUGGCUGGAAAAUUAGGUAAACACAAAGGGCAUGCUGCCCAAAUUUACGCUCGAGGACUAUAUAAAUCCACUUGCGACUUGGGUCGAAUUGAUAUGAAUAGUACUUGAACCAUCUAGGGUACUUGAGUCUUCUUGUUUCGAGGUAUGUAAGUAAGGACUUGGCCGAACUUGUACCCUUGAGAAAUGAAAUAAUGAUUGCUCGAAGUAUGUUUUCCUUGUACUUCAACUCGCAAGACAAUUUCAAGUAUAAAUGUUACAAAGUUUUAUCGUUUAAAAAGAGAGCAAGUGUUUCACGACUACUAUCCGAGUGAAUUUCAAUCUCUUGAUUUUUAUUGAACGAAACGUCUAAGUUGUGAAUCUUAGUCAUGUUUCAAAGUUCUCAAACUGAGUUUUAUCGCAGAUUUGGACUCCGAACCGGAGUAUAACCUGAAAGUGACCAGUAAAGGCACUAUAUCUUUUGGUGAGUGCUUUCAAAUACCGAAUUGCACUACAUACUUGAACUUGAUACGUGACCAAUAUGAGUACAUGUUAUAUACGUGAAUUGUUAGGGCAAGAGUGUACUUUAUCGCACUUGCCCUUACGUGAUAUACUUGUUUAUUGUUGCAAUUGACUUGAUAUACUUGUUUAUGGUGCGCGCACUUCCUGGAAUUCCAGAAACCCUGCGGCAAGUUACUUGAGUCGAGCCGGCAAGGGCUUGGUCGAUUGGGUAACGAACCCUGGGUCUCUUGUUUUGUCGAGUGGAGUGAUAUCUCCUCGGCUAAACGGUAUACUCGAGUAUUACCACACGUGUUUAUUGAGGAUUUUGGGCCCAGUAGGGGGUGAACGGUGGACGGAGAGUCGUGUAAGUGGUGUUCUACUGGAUUGGUUACCUACUUAAAAGUUGACGGAGUGUCAACUGUUACUUGAUCAAGCUCUGGAGAUGCAAUGGAAAUUUGGCUCCUGAGUGCCUUCCGUAUCCUUAUACUUGAAAGUGAUUAUUGCUUAUUGGAUUGCUGUUCCUUUUGAAAAUCGAAAAGCACUUUAUACGUGCUCAUUUGGAAAUUUGCUACUUGAAAUAUUAUUGUCCACUCUUAUGAGUUUUGAUGCCGUUAACUUGCUACAUGGAUAUUCAUACUUUUAAAAUGGGCAAUUUGUUAUUUGAAACCUCACUGGGCUUUUAGCUCAUUCCACGCUAUUUGUUUUCCUUACAGGAAUACGAGUGAGGCGUGAGUCGUGAACAGACUAGCGUAGUCUAGUUGCUCUUGAAAUUGUUUUGACUUUUGACUUGUACUCGCGCAAUUCCUCGAAUGGAACAUGUUGUACUUGGAUUGUAUACAUUUUGAACUAGUUUGGUGUAUUGAGGCUUUGUACCUCGAUUUCUAUCAAUGUAAAUUAUAAGCUUGAAUUGUGAAUGUUAUUUAUGGUUCAUGGAUGUGUGUACAUGACUCGAUUGAGAUAGUGAGUGAGUCCUGGCGAGAGCUGGGCAGGCGGUCCGCCGAACCCUUUGGUACGCCUUAGGGGGAGGUGGGGUCGUUACAGAUGGUAUCAGAGCUCCUAUCGAGCUCGUGCCGGGAGAAGGUUCUUGGACUGUGGGGAUUGACUUGUUAAGUGUGGAACAAUUGUCUAUUGUUGGGGACCUUAGAUAUGUAUGCUGGGUAGGAAUCUCUAAUAUGGGUAAUUUACUCUUGGGACCGGCCGGCUCGAGUUGUGAAUUACCUUAUUGUGGAUUCUUGUACCUGAACACCCAGGAGUGUUUUCAUGGACGAAUCGAGUAAUAGUUUGGCUAGGGUUCCUAUAGAGGAUGAUUAGGUUGUAGUAUAUGUCGAGAAAGUCUCGCCAAAGACCGAUUUCUUUCUUCUUCCCUUGGUUAUGCUUCCUUGAUGUCAUUUUAAGAUAUUGCCCCGAUUAUGUUCUACCCUCCCGUCCGUCUCAUUCGAUUUUUCAACCAACCGGUAUAUGGUUAGAUUAUUACUUGUGUUUAGUUACUUACCCUGAUCUGUUGAUCUGCCUGACAGGCUAUCACUUGAGUUCCAGUGAAUCUGUGAGAUGGCACACUUGGAUCCUACUAUUUAACUCAGUUUUGGCUAUAGUGAGACCUGAGAGUCGGAAACGAAUAUAUAAGGAAAAUACCCUAUGUUAUUCGAAGUGCAUGUAUGAAUUUCGAGGACGAAAUUCUUUUAAGGAGGGGAGAUUGUAACAUCCCGAAUAUUAGGAGGUUGUUUGUGAAGAAAAUAUUAAAGUGUAUUUCUUUGGGUUGAUUUAAAACCUUAUUUUGGUUUAAAAAACUAGAAACCCUAAUAUUGUAGCCAAAAACCCUAGUUUACUUGUGACUAACCGGUUUUCCUAAAUCUCUCAUAUUUUAAUUGAAACCCUAAUUUUAAUUACUGGAAUUGGAAAAUUCCUCACGUUUUCUUAAAAAUUUCUUUUUAUUUGAAGAUUAUCAUUUAUUAAAGCCCUACUAUCCAAUUAUCCCAUGAUAAGUGUAAAUAAACCUAGAAAAUAAGGUUUUACGCUUUGGUUUCAAGUUUGGAGUAAAAUUAGGGUUUUCGCGAUUUUUCGCCGGAUGAAUUUUCGGUACAGAGUAAGGAUUAAAUUUGGAGAUUAAAAGUGACUUUUAAGUGAAAAAUAAUAUGUGAGUAGUAGCAGUAAAAUAAGGUUAGUGAAUGGGAAGUAAAAACCCUAGUACGUGAGUUUUUAAGAAAAACGGCGCGAACCGGCGGGUCCCGCGCACUACCGUUUGAACGCACCACUGGACCACCACUUUCUUGCACCACAAGCUUAUUGAUAUUUGAGCCAAAAUAUCUUCUUAUAUUACAGCUAAGGGGACCGAAAUUUGUGGCUUAUAAGUAAGGGGAAGAAAGAGAAAAAUUAGUGGCUAAGAAUUGUCCAAGUGUUAGCCAAAUUGUGGUCUUAAUUAACUCUAACCUUCUUACUCCUUAUAAGACAAAAAUCAGCUUCAUUUCUCUUCAUUUUCUGCUGCCAAGAGCCGAGAGAGAGAGAGAGAGUAAGAAUAAGAGAGGAAAAACAAAACUCUUCUCCAUUUCUUCUUCAAUCCACCAACAAAGUGAGAAAUCAAACAAAAGAAACCGAUUAAUCUUGUCUUUGAGUGGUUAGUUAGUGUUUGGUGGUGAAAGUUUGGAAAAGGAAAGCUUGGGGCUGCUUUUAGAGACUUCUAACCAAGGUAAGAGAACUCAUCUCUCUAAGUUUUGUUUUUGAUUUUGUUAAAUUAAGUUAGUAGUUUGAUUAUAGUGGUGGAAUCAUGGAUGAUUAGCAUGAUUUAGAGGUUUUCCCCAAUUUAUUUGAUGAACUAGGGGUUCUGAUUUUCUGCUCAAUGUGAUGUAUGAUGUGUAAAUGUUGCAAUUAAGGUUAUAUAAGGUUGUUUAGUGGUGAUUAGAACCAGAAAUUUGAGGAAAUUACACUUAGAGCUAAAAAUUCCAGAUUUCUGGAAAAUUUUCCAAGCAUUCUGUCCGAAAUUUUAUCUAUAUGUUAGAGGCCGAUUUGGCCUUUGGUCAAAGAAGGAAAGUUGUAUAGAAUGGCAUUUUAUAGGUUCCUGUAAAAUUUCAGCUCAAUCGGAGCAACGGAGGUCGUGAAAAGUCCAAAAUACCCUUGCUGUUUUAAGAAUUUCCCAGCAGUCCGUUUCUUCAGUUCAGUCCAGUUUAUCACGAUUUUUGAUCAGGAUCCAUUCUGAUUUAGCUCUGGGCCAAAACAUAAAAGUUGUAGUGUUCUGAAGUAGCUUUAAAAUGCCUCAAAGAAAACCUGAUUCGGACUUGUGUACACUGAGUUAGGUCCGCUACAGCAUAAUGCGUUUAAACAGCCGAUGAAUUGGUUUCUGGUUUAGUAGUCUGAGAUUUUGACUAAGUUACAUUAGGAAAUGGACUAAGUGACCUUCAUAAAUGUUGUAGCUUUGUGUCUUAGCUUCGAAAUGGCACAGGUUUCGUAUUAAUCCGAUAAGUGUAGCCUUGGAUAUGUUAUUUCCGCAUUUGGUACGUCAAAUCUGUCUUGUGCCACAGUGAAUUUCUGCACUUGUACUUGAUGCGGUUCUUGUUGUUAUGAUAUUGUGAGCCUAUGGAACGGCUCUUGACAUAAAUUGCUGAUAUGUAUGUUGUUGGGCUGUUGUUGAAGAAAAAUAAUGAAGCCUAAAUGGCUGGAAAAUUAGGUAAAUACAAAGGGCAUGCUGCCCAAAUUUACGCUCGAGGACUAUAUAAAUACACUUGCGACUUGGGUCGAGUUGAUAUGAAUAGUACUUGAACCAUCUAGGGUACUUGAGUCUUCUUGUUCGAGGUAUAUAAGUAAGGACUUGGCCGAACUUGUACCCUUGAGAAAUGAAAUAAUGAUUGCUCAAAGUACGUUUUCCCUUGUACUUUCGACUCGCAUGACCAUUUCAAGUAUAAAUGUUACAAAGUUUUAUCAUUUAAAAAGUGAGCGAGUAUCUCACGAGUAUUCUCCAAGUGAAUUUCAAUUUCUUGAUUCUUAUUGAACGAAACGUCUAAGUUUCGAACUCUAGUCAUGUUUCAAUGUUCUCAAAUUGAGUUUUAUCGCAGAUUUGGACUCCGAACUCGGAGUAUAACUUGAAAGUGACCAGUAGCACUAUAUCUUUUGGGUGAGUGCUUUCAAAUACCGAAUUGAACUUGAUACUUGAACUUGAUAUGUGACCAAUCUGAUUACAUGUUAUAUACGUGAAUUGUAAGGGCAAGAGUGUACUUUAUCGCACUUGCCCUUACGUGAUAUACUUGUUUAUUGUUGCAAUUGACUUGAUAUACUUGUCUAUGAUGCGCGCACUUCCUGGAAUUCCAGAAACCCUGCGGCAAGUUACUUGAGUCGAGCCGGCAAGGGCUUGGUCGAUUGGGUAACGAACCCUGGGUCUCUUGUUUUGUCGAGUGGAGUGAUAUCUCCUCGGCUAAACGGUAUACUCGAGUAUUACCACACGUGUUUAUUGAGGAUUUUGGGCCCAGUAGGGGUGAACGGUGGACGGAGAGUCGUGUAAGUGGUGUUCUACUGGAUUGGUUACCUACUUUAAAGUUGACGGAGUGUCAACUGUUACUUGAUCAAGCUCUGGAGAUGCAAUGGAAAUUUGGCUCCUGAGAGCCUUCCGUAUCCUUAUACUUGAAAGUGAUUAUUGCUUAUUGGAUUGCUGUUCCUUUUGAAAAUCGAAAAGCACUUUAUACGUGCUCAUUUGGAAAUUUGCUACUUGAAAUAUUAUUGUCCACUCUUAUGAGUUUUGAUGCCGUUAACUUGCUACAUGGAUAUUCAUACUUUUAAAAUGGGCAAUUUGUUAUUUGGAACCUCACUGGGCUUUUAGCUCAUUCCACGCUAUUUGUUUUCCUUACAGGAAUACGAGUGAGGCGUGAGUCGUGAACAGACUAGCGUAGUCUAGUUGCUCUUGAAAUUGUUUUGACUUUUGACUUGUACUUGCGCUAUUCCUCGAAUGGAACAUGUUGUACUUGGAUUGUAUACAUUUUGAACUAGUUUGGUGUAUUGAGGCUUUGUACCUCGAUUUCUAUCAAUGUAAAUUAUAAGCUUGAAUUGUGAAUGUUAUUUAUGGUUCAUGGAUGUGUGUACAUGACUCGAUUGAGAUAGUGAGUGAGUCCUGGCGAGAGCUGGGCAGGCGGUCCGCCGAACCCUUUGGUACGCCUUAGGGGGAGGUGGGGUCGUCACAUUAAACCCUCGAACUUGAUAAAUUGGGUACCCGUGACCCUUUUAGCCAGUUUCUCCGAUUUUACAACCGGAAGGCCAAUUCACACGAAUGCCAGUGUGCUUCUUCAAAGGGCAUUUUUGUCCGCAUUUUUUAAGCAAAAAAGGAACAACUCCUCCUUCCUCCCUCCAUUUUCCUAUUCCGCCCAAACAUGAACAUGAAAGGCAAUCAUUUGUGCAGUUUUCUUCGGAAGAAGACGGUUCCCGAAACAUCCAUCAAUAAAUGACGAACUCCAGCAUAGACGUGAUAGAAAAGGGCUAAGGCAGCAAUCUUGGCGGAUAUUGGGCUGAGUUUCGAUGAAUAAAAGAAGAAUUGGUAGAAACUCCCAUAGCUGAAGCAAAUCGAACCCAUCUUCAUAGAAGCAAGAUAAAAAGACAGGACUAAUGCGGAUAGAUAAACUCCGGAGAUUCUGUUUAAAAUUGACAUCGUCGAGUUCACCUGGGGCUGGUAUAUAGGAAGAUGAGGAGAUAAGGGGCGAAAGACAUUUUUUCUUGUAUCAACUUUCGGGCUGACAUCAUCAUCCUCUUUGCCCGUCACUUGCAGAUUCAAACCAUCAUCGGUCUCC
rnacentral:lncRNA from 1 species